rnacentral:lncRNA from 1 species
UUCGAAAAUGGCGGGUGAGCGACGGUAGGUUCCGGUGUCGAAUUAGACACUUCCGGGAACCCGAAUCGAAACGAUUAUCCGACGAUAAUUGUUUCGACACGAGGAGUUGUGUUUGCUGUCAUGAUGCACGAUUAUCUAUGUUUAGUGGCAGCAGGUGACUCGUAGCUCGAGUCGGUAUGUUUCGGGACAGUUCGUGGCUCCCGGCGGAGUCCCCGUGCGAUUACGGGACUUCCGGCGUAUUACGGCGAUCGGUUUGGGAAACCGAUCUCCAUGGGUUUGCUUGUAGGUUGUGGAUUUAGUGGUUAUUAGCUGUGGGUUAGACACUAACCCGGUGGACCUUCCUUAGGUCCGGUUGACGUCCUUUUUGCAGUCAGGAGGCAGGCGCAGCAUUUGUACAGGUGGGUACUUCGAUCCGAAGUCGGUACAGUGGUGCACGCUCGGUGAUAUUCUUCUAUCCCUAUUCUUCUGUUGCUAUUUUCGUAUUAUAUAUUGAGCUUGCAUCCCCGUUGUUUCUAUUAUACUCUACUCAUAUGUUUCUAUGCUUAGUAUCAUGUGUAGGAGUAGAGUAGUUUAUCCAUAUGUGAUAUCGGUGACCUGAUUGGUCGGUUCUCGUACUUUGUUCCGGUGACCUGAUUGGUCGGUUCUCGUACUUCGUUUCGGUGACCUAGUUGAUCGGUGCUUUUAUCUUAUAUCUGUUGACCUGGUUGGUCGGUUGUUGCAUUAUGUAUUGGGUUGGUCUGUUUCUUGACUUCUGUUGUUCGAUGACCUUUGAGGUCGGUGUACCCUGAGGGGUAGGAUUGUCGGCUGGUGCUGACGGUAGUUCUGGACUAUAUCGAUUACACUCCUGUGACCUAUCGGUCGGUUCUUGCGUUCGUACUUCUAGUUGACAUCGAGCAGUAUCUACAUAUUAUCUUUAUUUACUCUGCCUGGUUGUUCUAUGUGUAGUAUCCUGUAUAGGGGUAGAGUAGAUGGCAUUCGUAUAUACUAUACUUGUGACCUGGUUGGUCGGUUCUCCUGUUUGCAUCGGUGACCUGUUUGGUCGUUCGUUACUUUCCGUAUAUUGACCUCUCUUGGUCGGUUCACGUUGUUACUUGAUGACCUACACGGUCGGUUAGCCCCGAGGGGCAGUGAUUGUCGGCUGAUUGCCGACGGUUGGCUAUUGAUCAUAUCCGCAUUGAUCGCCACAGCUCGAGUGCAUUUCACGUACACCAGCGGGUUGAUCCCCCGCAGGAGGGUGUUCUUUUCCGGAAAAGUGGUCGUACAUCCGACCCGUGAGCCCAGCGGUGUUCUCUUUGUGCUAGGGUUACAUGCCAGGUGUGAGCAGAUAGUGGCUUUUGCCUGAGGUCCUUAGACCGACACGGCGGUUUAGAUUGGGUACUUUUGGACUUCUCGUCCGGUUGACGCAUAUAGCUAUAGUAGCGGUUGUGCAUAUAUACUUCUAGUUCUUUCUUUACAGUUGUCUUGCUACUAUAGUUUUGAUAUCCUUGUGUGCUUGCAGUUGUACAUACAGUAGCGGUAGUUGUGUUUUUAUAUAUAUAUAUAUCUCAUUCGUUCAUUAUCGUUGCUACAUCAUUUUACUUACCCAUACUGUUGGUUAUCUCUUCCUGAUCCGGUGAGUACUCCUCGCCUUCUUCGGCUUGCGGUACCCACUGGGAGGGGAGACAUGUUUACAUGUUCUCACCUCCCCCACUAUUUUUCAGGUACUGCAGACGUUGAGUUUUGGGACGAGACGUGAGGUACGUUCGUAGCGGUCGAUAGAGCUUCCGACCCAGGUUAUCGGUUUAGUUUUAUCCCUACUAUUCUGUUGUUAUAGCUUAGUCAGUUUAUAUGGUUCAGUAUUUUUAUUACAUUGGAAUAUAUGGACUUUCAUGAACGUAUUAAAAGGAUUUCUGGAUUUGGUAAAAUAAAAUGUUUUCUACCCCUCGUGGUAGCUUCUAUAAAAGAUAAAAGUUUUCGCGUACGAAACAGUUUUCAAAAGAUUUUUCGUGGACUUCUGUUUAAACAUCAAAUGUAAAUUUACGGUGUGAAUGGUGAAUGUAUGAAUGUAUAGCUAUCUGUAUAUUCAUUUGAUUGUGGUUGUAUACUGUUUGUACUUAUGUACUUGUGUGACGCCGUGCAAGUACAGGGGAGACUCUGUCCGUGUGAACAGUGGAUUCCCUGUAUUUGUGGCGGAUCUGGCAUACUCUGGGGUCAGGUUUUCAAAAAAAAAAAUUUUCAAACGCUUUUCCGCUGUGUUACAAACAAAAAGGGGACCCCGGGGCGUGACAGGUGGUAUUUGAAGUUUUCUACAACAUACAAAAUUUUAAUUUUGUUAUAUCGACUAUUAAAAAAUAGGAUUGGUCUAUGCGAUAAAAUUUUACACUUGAUAUUGGCGAAAAUAAAAAAAGAAAAAGUGUUGAAAGAAAAAAAAUAAAAAAAGAGUAUAAGGUGUGAGAGAGAGAGUGAGAGAGAAAAAAAAAAGUGGGCUCUCCGGGCUCCUGUGGGCCCCACCCCUUUUUUUUUCCUUCUCUCUCAAUAUAUAUAUAUAUAUAUAUAUAUAUAUAGAGAGAGAGAGAGAGAGAGAGAGAGCUAGGCUGGUACAUUAUCGGUAGUACGGAGGCCUUCGUGCUACCAAGUUAUUUUCAAUAAUACGGCUUCUAAAUCGACAAUCAGCUCUGUUAGACUUGAUCUAUACUAUUGAAAGUAUUUGGAAACUAAAUUUCACAAUUUUUCGGCAUCAUUUACCUAUCAAAUGAGUAGUCUAAAAAUGAACGGCUGAAAAUAAAAAUCUCAUAAAAAAUGAUCAUAAAAGACUUGAAUUUAAGAUCAGAGAUACUGAUCUUACUCUAAAUAGUGAAAAGAAUUUUUUAUAAAAAUUUCAUCAGAUUUGAAUUGGUUUACACCGUUAAAUUCACAAACGCAUCACAUCUACCAUUAAAAUUAUUAAUUUUGUGAGCUUUUGAUCACUAGCCAAAUGAUGUCGCAAAAUUAUGAAAUUUAGUUUCCAAAUACUUUCAAUAGGGUAGAUCAAGUCUAACGGAGCCAAUUGUCAAUUUGGAAACCACAUCAUUGAAACCAACUUGGUAGUACGGAGUCUUCCGUGCUACCGAUAGUAUACCAGCCUAGCUCUAUAUAUAUAUGUAUAUGUGUAUAUGUAUAUGUAUAUGUGUAAAUAUAUAUAUAUAUAUAUAUAUCGAUAGCAUCAAGGAAUUGGUGCUAUCAAGUUUUCCACCAUUAGAUUUAACCCUUUGAUUAUUUUUACCCAUUAGAUUAUACUAUUCAACACACCACCCACUCAACCCUAGGAGGCCCAAAUUAUCCUAGCCGCACAUUUCUCAAUCCAAUGACUAAAAAACUAAUAGCACUAAUAGCUUGGUGCUAUUAAUAGUAUUAUUACAGCCUAGUUAUAUAUAUAUAUAUAUAUAUAUAUAUAUAUAUAUAGAGCAGGGCUGCUGUGCUCUCAGGAGCACAGAGGCCUCUGUGCUCCUGAGCCGUUUUCGAUGAUGGAGUUUCCGAAUCGACGAUCAGCUCCGUUAAACUUGAUCUAGCGUAUUUAAAGUUUCUAGAAAAUAAUUUUUGCGAUUUUUCGAUAUCAUUUACCUAGUAAUCGAAAGGAUUCAAAAUCGAUAAUUUUUAAUGGUUGAAAAUAAAAAUCCUAUAAAAAGUGGUGAUAUAGCACUAAAAUUUUCGAUCAGAAAUAUUGAUCUUGUUGUAGAUAGUAUAAAGAAUUUUGUAUCAAAAUUUCAUCUGAUUUGAAUACUUUUACACCGUUAAACUUGAAAACGGCAGAUAUCAACCAUUAAAAAUAGAGUAAAUCCCUUUCUGAUCAUUAAAAUAAAUAUUAAAAAUCGAAAAAAUUUCUAGAAACUCAAAUGCGCAGAGAUCGAAGUCUAACGGACCGGGACGUCGAUUCGAAAUUCCAUUCAUCAAAAACCUCAGAUACAGACUCCAUGUUCCUGCGAGAGCCACAGCACCCACUAAAUAUAUAAUAUAUAUAUAUAAUAACUCUAUAUAUACAUAUAUAAAUAGACUACUAUGAUGUUAUAUAUAUAGUACUGUAACUAUAAUAAAUAUAAUAUAGCCACAUAAACAAUAUACAUAUAUACCAUAAUAAAUUGUAUAUUAUAACAUAUAAUGAUAUUAUUAUAUUGAAUAUGAUAUAUGUAUAUAUAGUAAUGAUAAUAUAAUAUUAAUAUAUAUAUCUGUAAUAGUAUAAUAGUAUAUAUAUAUGUAUUAUUAAAAUCUAGUAUGUAUCGUAAUAGUUUUAAAAAAUUUAAAUUUUAAACUUUAUAUAUACAUAUAAAUUAUAUGUACAUAUAUAUACGUACAUAAUUACUAUAAAUAAUAUACAUAUACAAUAAUUAAUAUAUAUAUAUAAUAAAUAUAUAAUAUAUAUAUAAAUAUAAAUAUAUAUAAAUAAUACAUAUAUAAUAUAUUUACAAUAGAAUAAAUAGUAUUACACAUAGAUUAUAAUUACAUCUAGAAUUGUAAUAUAUAAAUAUUAUAUAUAUAAAUAUAUAAAGACGAUAUAUAUAUAUCAUAUUGUGAAUAUAAUAUAUAGCAUUAUAAUUAUAUUAAUAUAUAAUAAGAUAUAUAUAAUAUAUAUAGAAUAUAAUAUAUAAUAAUAUAUUAUAUGUUACAUUUAUAUAACAUAGUCUUAAGUGUAAUAUAUAAAUAUAUAAGUAGAAUAUGUUAUAUAUAAAUAGUAUACUAUAGGUAUAUAUAUAUAAUAUUAUAUUAAUAUAAUAAGAUAAAAAUAACUAUUUUAAUAUAAAUAAUUUGUCGUGAUAAUAUAUAUAUGUAAUAGUGUAUAUAUAUAGAUAAUGUAUAUAUAUCAUAUAUUCUAUAUUAAUAGAAUCUAUAUGUAUAUAAUAAUAUAGUGAAUAUAUACGAAUUACAUAGUAUAUAUACUAGAAUAUAGUAAUAACUUAUCAUAUGAUAGUUAUAUAGUAUUAUAACGUAUGUAUGUAUGUAAAAACAUAUAUGUAUGUAGUAAUGUAUAUUAGUAUAUAUAUAUAUAUAUACUUAGAGAUAUCAAUAUAAUAAUAUAAAAUAAAUAUAUAUAUAAAAACAUACUAACGAUUACGUAUGCAUUAAAUAUAUACUAUAUAUACAGAUGGAUUUAUGAUAAUUAUAUUACAUAUUACCAAUUGAACCAAUGCAACCUAAGGUUCGUCUUGCACAAAAAAAAGCUCCUAAUUAAUUAAAAUCAUCCAUUAGUAUCCUGUAAAAAGGUAGUUAUUUUACGCGCUGAAUUAUAUAAAAUAUGUACGAACAUACCUAUUAUAUAUCUAAACUUAACAUAUAAUUGAUAGUUAGCAUUUUUGGAAUUUUGUCAAUUAAGAUAUCUGACACUAGAUAGGGACUAAUAUAAUGAAAAAUUGAUUGUCUACUUUAUAGAAAUAGUUUAAGAAAUAUGACAAAUAGAUCCUGCAAAAUAAGAUCAUACAACCAUGGCUCAAAAGUAGAAAGAUACGUAAAUAAGGACAGAACUUAACAGUUUAGUUAUGUUUUCUAUUUUAUGUUAUGUUUUGUCUGUUUCGAGCGCCAAACCAAUUCACUGCGAAUCCGACACAAUUGAACAAGGUAAGGCAAAAUGGGCAAAGAGAAAGACAUUCUGAUAAACAACGAAUAGGAAAUAGACAUAUAUAGUUGAAACAUUUGAUAAAACUCAUCUUCUCAACCGUGACAAGAAAUCAAUCUACAACAAUAUAGUAAGUUCCAUCUUUUCUCCUUCUUACUUUUAAACUUAAAUUAUUGUACCUUUGAACCAGUAGCUGCUUCAAUUCUUCCUCAAUGUUCCUUACCUUUUUAUCUUUCUUGGUGUAUCCUUUAUGCUUCUUCAAAAGCUGAGAUCAAAUUGCUACAAAUCUUAUGUCUUAACAAGGAAAACUGAUUGAUGGAAGCCCUCGCUUUUGCUUAUACCUGGUAAACAACGGCACUGUGUGAACACAAUAUACAAAUCAUUGACAUCCAUAUAGCGUUUAUUGUUUACAACUCAAUUGUGUCCACUGUUUCUGCCAACAAAUAUGAUUCUCUGAUAUCUAGUCUGCAAAUAAAGCACUCAUCUAACCUGCCUCCUUCUGUAGUGCAUAGCUGAACCUUUAAUAACACUUGAUAAUUAAUUCUCAAUUAAUCUGGGUUUGUUCGUUUUCGGACACAAAUGACGUCGAAUUGGACAUGCCAAAAUUCUCCAUUAUUUUGAAUGUAAUUCAUGUGCAAAAACUGAACUUCCUUCCUUCAUCAUACUCAUGCAAAUUGAUUAUUUUACAUACUCUCUCUAAAUGUUAGUAGGCAUUAAAAUCAGCAAUAGAUUUUCAGAUUUCGACCCUGCCAUAAAACAUUUCGGCAUUGUUGAUCUCAUGUAAGAUUUUUCGUAUUUUCGUCAUGUAUUGUUCUAUUUCCCUACUUUACCCUCCAUAAUUUCUUGUUUGUUUUUUUAACUAUCAUCUAUAGUUGCCCUAAAAUCAAAACUCGAUGGAAAAACACAAAAUCAUAAUAUACAGUGAAGAGUUGGUAAAAAGCUUCUCUUCAUUUUUAGCCGCCGGUGGAGCAGGGUACCGUUAAAAACCUGCACUAGUCCUAUUAAUAAUCUUUUACCACUUUAUGCUCUACAAGACUCAAAAGUUCAAAAUCCACUUCCAACUCUCCGGUGCAAUUGCCGUCAAUUUAUAGCAUGUAGAGAAUCAAUGAAAGUCUUUCAAGUUCAGUUCAAAUACAAACAGAUGGUCUUUACCACCUCAAUAACAACCAUAGCCACAUGACCAAGCAAGCUGUGCAUAUUCUGAUAUAUAACAUAUAAAGCCUCAUGCAAACUAAAGAGCAGAAAAUUAUCGAUGCAUUACAGAGCUUCAUGGUAAUCAAAGCUCUCCAAAUGGUGACGUCCCUCUUCAGAAAGGUCAAAAGCCUAGCUUGUUACAUCAUUUCAAGUAGCUAGCCUUGAAAGUAACCACUUUAUGGCAAAAUGCUAGGUUCUCUGCAUAUACAAACUAGAAUAAUAUAGUACGUUCCAUCAUUUGCAGCAUGCUUAUUUUUUGUAAUCGACUGUCUUCCUAUCUUACUUUAAAGCCAUCUCCAUGAAAAUAAAAUUUUGAUUAAAUUAUGCUUCAAUUGGAAAAGGUUCGAAAUCGACCCCACCUGGAGAUCACCAAUUAAAAUUGAUAUCAUGUAACCUUUUCACACUUAUAUUUGACUGCUGAUGUGCACACUUUAAACACUUUUGGGUCUAUCCGUAUAUUCAUUUCUUAUCGUGUGACUCAUAUUUUUAUUAUUUUCCUAUGUUAAUAGGGUCACAUUCCUUGGUUAUAAUGUCAAAAUAAAUCAUUUUAUCAGUCCCAUACUAGAAUCCACUGUAUUAUUUAUAGUUACAAAAGUAAGUCACUCUCUCGAAACUGGCCAUUAACCCUCUGAUUACAAUAGACAAAGUCCAUUGUAGUUGACAUUGGAAGGAGUUCUACGUAUCUAAAUAGCACAGAAGACUUACUUCAGGCAAAAAGUUAAAAUAAUAUUGAAAAUUAUGCACUGGUCAAGAGAUUCAACUUAAUUCAUUUUUUAUUAAUACUUUUGAAUAUACUAUACAAAGAAAAAGCUUCCAUACUGCGUCCCAUAGUGAAUGCCAAUGGAAAUUGCUUGGUUAUAGUAAGCUUUUUCUUUUCCUAAAAAAACAUAGCCCUAAAAUUAAGCACAAUUGUUGCACAUUCUACACAAGGUUAAAUGUAUUUGGCGCCCUUUGAUAACUUAUUGCACGGCGUUGUCGUCCAGAGUACCUUGUGAAACAUUGGGCGAAUCCUAUGUAAUGCGAUUUUUUUCAUGUAUACCUCUGGGCAGAUCAUGUGCACCAAAUAAACAAGCUUUUCAGGGGUAACAUGCAAACCGCUUGCAAGGUACAUCAAUACCUGCUUUUAUAAUUUACGAAUUUUGUCUUGGUUUUGAUAUACAGCAAUUCUCUUCUAUUCUAAGUUUUUAAUUGAACGGCAAUAAUUCAGAAAAUAAGCUACGCUAUCUCGUCUGAAUAAUUAGGUGUCUUCAACACUAUUUACUUGUUCAGAACAUUUAUAAUAGUCUCCAGACUAUAUUUCAGUUAGUCUUCAUCCUUUAUUUUAAAUAAAUAAAAUUAUGAGAAGAUAUGAAAGAAAUACUUGAAGAAAAAGAAUGACUCCCUUGAUCAUACUUAUUCUUAACAUCAAUCUUUCUACUUUAUCUAUUCUUUCAGAUUUUAAUUUUGUCUAAUUAUAUUUUUAAUCAUUGCGGAUAAGAAUGAGUGUCAAUUCUACAUAGUUUAUAUUCGACAACCUUCUUUUGAUGGGGACCAUAAAUCAACAUCGACUCUAUUUAGUGAAUCAUUAGUUUAAAUUGACAGACUUGCAUGUCCUAAAAUGAGAAUUGGGAGGUAUUUGUAUGAUAAUCAUAAAUAUUCUUCUUUUCGUUAAAUUAAAAAUCUCUCAUGAUUUGCUUUUAUAAAUCAGUUGGUGUUUGGACAACAAUGUUUAUAACCGAUAAUGUAUCAAAAUAAUGGUCGACAAAAUAUCGUGAUAAUAUUACGUAUAAGUUAAUAUACUGUGACAAACUUUAUUCACAAUAUUAGUGUACUGAAUAAUCAACGUCAUAAAUAUAUAAUUAUAAGAGUGUAAGCAGUAUGUUUUAUGGAGGAUUAUAGAGGUUAAAAAAUUUAUGUUCAACCAUUUUAUAAAUAUUAUUGGUGACAAAUAAGUAACAUCCAGUGACAAAAUUAACUUGUCAUAAAUAUUGUCUUUAGUGACAAUGUUUUUUUUUCCAUGGCAAAAUCUAUUUGCCACGGGACCUACCGUGACAACUUAUAGUGACCGUAUUUGUCGUCACUAAAACUAUUAGUGACAAAUUUUUUAUUUUUAGUGACAAUAUUUUUCUGUCACUUAUAAAUCAUUUUCUUGUAGUGAGUUGUUGACCCCUUUUUGCAGAGCCCUCGUCCGCUGCUGCUGCUGUUGUGGUUUCUGACCGAGGCAAGGGAGUCGCGAGUUAAAGCCAUCCCUUCCCUAGUUACAGUGCUAGAGGAGUACCUUCCUCAGAUAGUUUUGGAGCUUUUUGUACAUAUGGUUAUGUUGUCGGGGUACUCACUGGAGCGAGUGGUGUAGCAGACUUUUUGUAUGUACUGGAACCCCUCGAGGUUUUUAUAUAAAUGUUAUUUUCAGUUUAGCAACUUUUUACCUUGUGGUUGUAGCUUGGUUUUGUUUACAGAUACAGCUAUCGAUUCGUAUACAGGAAAAAUUGCUAUAUAUACGGUGGGUCUAUUGGCGUGCCCGGAAAACGUGAUAAUCCGGGGCGUGACAUAGAUCAUGCUAUUCAACUAUAUAGCCACCCAUUUAACCGAGGCUGCUAUCAUCCUGACCGCACAUCCCUUCAUCCAAGGGUUGAAAACCUAAUAGCAAACGGUUUGUACUAUUAAUAGUAUACUAACCUAAUUCUAUAUAUAUAUGCUCGGUCUACUAUACUCUUAUAAGUAUAGACCCUUUUAUACUAAAUUUUCAACCGUUGGAUGUGCGAUUAGAAUGAUAGUGGUCCCCUAAGAUUGAGUGGGUGGUUCGUUGAAUAGUAUGAUUUAACGGAUAAAAAUGGUCAAAAGGAUAGAUCUAACGAUCGAAAAUUUAUAGUUUAAAGGGGUCUAUACUCAUAAAAGUAUAGUAGUCAAACUCUAUAUAUAUAAUUAUAUAUAAUAUAUAUUUUAAUUAUAUAAAAUAAUAUAUAGUAUGUAUUUUAAUUAUAUGUAUAUAGAAUUUAGAUUAUUGGGCCCACAAAAUAAAGCUAGCAAAAUCUUACUCUAAUUGCUUUCUCUCUUUCUCACUUCCACACAGAGUCGCUUUUUCUAAGUUUUUUUAAUAUUAUAAUAUCGUAUUUCAUGUAUUUAUUUUGUAUGUUGAACUAUUAAACAUUUUUUGUAUCAAAUUUUAGAUAAUAUUUUAUAAAGAUUAAACUAUAGAUUGCACGAUGUUAAGAAUUUCAAGCGGCUCGUUUAGGGCUUAGGGUUUCGAGCUCGUUUAGGCUCGAGCUCACUCGACUUGAAGUUAGGCUCGCUUGAGCUUACCUCGAAUUAAUUUCAAGCUAAGCUUGAGCCUAAAUUUAGGCUCAAAAUUAAUUUCAAGCCAAGCUUGAGCCGAGGUAAGCUCGCUCGAGCUCGGCUCGUUUCCACCCCUAGGCUUAGCAUUCUCUUCAAUAUUUUAAGGGCAAAUUAUACUUUUGGUCCUCAAAUUAUGAGGGUGUGACACUUCACUCUUUAAAUUUUCAUUUUUGUUCGAAUUUUCUGAGUUACUGCAAUCAAGCCUCACGAUCUAAUUUAGUUUGCUAAAUAUUGACAAACUGUUGAUGUAGAAGUGUUGUAGUAAUGUUGUUUUAAAUGAUGUAAUAACAAUUAAGAUGCUAUAUCCACUACAACAAAGUAUGUUAUAGACGACGCUUUAUUCUAAUAUCGUCAAUUUUUGGUACGUAAACUAUAACACUACUAGCACUUUCAGUGGAUAUGANGCCUAGCUCUAUAUAUAUAUAUAUAUAUAUAUAUAUAUAUAUAUAUAUAUAUAUAUAUAUAUAUAACAUUCGAACUGAAUAGUGCGGCUUUAGAUCAAAAUAAUGCGUAAUUUGGAACAGCAAUGUUAGGUUUACCGUUCAAAAUAGAUUUCUCAUCAAACACCAGUUUUUUCAUCUAUCUUAUCCCUUUUUCGGUAACCAACAAUAAAAAAAGUUAGUAAACCUUAAACACUCUUGGAUAAAAAAUUGUAGAAUUACCAUCUGUUUUUUUGUGGUUUCUCACUUUCAAGCAUGAAAAUUAAGAGGUCAAAUGAUGACAAUGUCCACGAGAUUGACUGCAAGUACUACAAGAGUUGCGGGUGGAUACAGAAUUCAGUAAUAAUAAGACUUUUUUUAAUUCCUUUUCCAACGGCCAAAUGGCUAUCUUGGCAAAUCAAAAGAUUUUGCGCGGCAAUACAAUAAUGUCUAAAAAAAUAAAAAUAAAUUAAGGAUAAAUUAUAGCCUUGGAUAAAAUUUUAAAUUUUAGAUAAAAUUUUAGGCUUAAUUAUAAAAAAAAAAAUUUGUACUUUAGUUAUGUCUCAAAUGCUCUGGCAAAAAAUAAUAAUAAUAAUAAUAUUUUCUUACACUUUACUCUUGUCCAGCCGUUAAGAUUUCUUCUUUUUUUUUUUUUGUCUUAAUUAACUGACACGGCACUACGCGGGCAACCAUGUCGCAUUUAAGCUGAUGAAAAAGUGAUUAAAAAAAAAUAUCUGAAUUAGGACAUUAGGACAUUUCAAUUAGACCCCCUCCCCACUUUUAUUAUUACCCUAAAUCUCUACUUUUAACUUUUUCUACCCAAUCUCUCUCUCUCUCUCUCUCUCUCUCUCUCCCAAAUCAGAUUAAAUUUGUUAUGCGGAAGAGUUUUUAUAAUUUCUGAAAUUAAAUUUGAAGAAAUUAAAGUGCAGAGACCGAUGGUGAAAUUUAGCCGAUAAAUUAAAUAAAAUAACUUUCUAACGUAUCUAUUUCUUGCGGGGACCGACACGUCGUCGGCAGUGCUCCAAUGGGCCAUUUCCGAGCUCCUGAAAAGCCGAGAAAGAAGUAAGAGAGGCCCUGAAAGGAAUGGAUGGUAUUGUUGAAGAAGCACAAGUCAACGAACCAAGCUACCUUCGACUGGCAGUUAGAAGAGAAACCCUGAGACUCCACCCAACAGCCCCACUGCUGCUGCCUAGAGAGGGCCAGUCGACAUGCCACGUGGAGGGCUACGAGAUCCCGGCGGGGACCCGGAUCAUCGUCAACGCAUGGGCGAUCGCGCGGGAUCCCAAGUACUGGUCGGAGCCGGAACGGUUUGUGCCGGAGCAGUUCGCAGCGCCCGGCGACGCAGAUUACAAGGGGACCAACUUCGAGUACCUGCCGUUCGGAUCGGGGCGGCGGAUGUGCCCCGGGAUGGUGUUCGGCCUCGCCAGCGUGUCCGUGGCCCUCGCGGAGCUGCUCCGCCGAUUCGACUGGCGGGUGCCCGAAGGGACGACGACGGCGGAGGAGCUCGACAUGGAGGAGACCGGCGGCGCCACCGCCAUGCGGAGGGUCGACCUGGUCUUGGUGGCCACUACCAGGGAUCCAAAGUGAACGGAGACUGACGUGCUAGAAGAAAUGUUUUCCGUAGACAAUACUGCAGGGCAUAUAAUCUACCUGCUUUUAAGGAGGAUAUGCCCAAACUAUUACUAUCUCCACAGUAGGGCGCCUGAUAGGGAUUUGAGGAUUAUAGAUUCGAGUCCCACACUCCCACGUGACGGACUCUAGAUAUACAGUGAUUGGAAGGAGCCUAGCGCACGAUUCUCUAAGACCGAAAUGUUUUUCUUUACUAAGAAUAAUGUAAUUGAAUAGAUCACAAUUGCCGAACCUCUACUAAAAAAAAGUACAAAUAUAGAAAUGCUGCUGUGAGCAAUAAUCUGUCUUCUUACUGCUGGUAAGUGUAUACAGAGAUUAAAAUACUUUUCUUAAAAGAGUUUAAAAGUCUAUUCGCCCAACAUGAAAGUUUGAGGACCAAAAUGAAAAUUGAAAAGAGUAAAUGUAUACAUGAAAGUUUGAGGAUCAAAAUGAAACUUGAGCUAUAAUACACAUGGGAAACCUUUAUUAAUUAGAGAAAUAAAAUCCUAUUCUUCUACCUUCCCUCGGUGCGAAAAACAUACGCCGAAUUACACAGUUCGGAACAAAGAUAAAAAAAACGUGAGUUAGAUCACAUAAAAAUAAACUUAAGCCACAAUUUGAUAUUUUACGAGAGAUCAAAUGGAAAAUGGAAAAAGGAGUUUUUACGAAAAUACCACUUAAAGCAGAAAUCGGAGAAUCAACCAGCACUUGAAUUAUUGGCUCCACUAAUCAUCUAGAUAAAGCAUAUAUUACACAACAACACUACUAUAAUCUAAAAAUUACAAAUUAAACGAAGCUGAUCUCACAAACGACCUACGCCACCAUACCUGAAAAGCCUGACCAAGGUUCGGGCACUCCGUCGCGCCGCCCGCGAAGAAUCGAAACCAUUCCUCAAAUAAACUCUGUUGCUGACUAAGCGGGAGCGUUAGAAGUGCCUGCCCCAGGGUUUCCUCCAACAUCCUAACAUCCAACCCUUUUGAGCACCUUUGUAACCAACCAAAGUCCAUCAACAAAGGCCGGAACCAUCCGCAAAAUAAAGCACUUCUUGUUUCACCCCGACAAUGCAACUUCCCUUUCCCUAGUGCUAUAAAUAAACUUGCGGAGACCCGACUUAGCUCGUACCUCACCAUUGGUGAAGCUUUUUCGUGCAUUUUGAUCAACUCUGCUUGCUGGGCCCACAAGUCCACAAAAUCUUCAGCCAUCUGAUUGUUAGUGAGAAUCUCGAGGAGCCAGUUGAGAUUCUCGACCUGCUUUGAGAUCCGUUCAACCAAAGGCUUAUUACUGUUCUUAUUUUCGUCUGCUGCAGAUCCAGAAGCUUCUUCAAAGAGCUCCACAAGUGAGUUCAAGCAGGAGUGGCAUAUCUUAUAUAAGCUCUCCUUACUAAGCCCAGCAGGGUCUUUUUGGUACACCGAGCUCUUUGAUAAGAGACCAUUGACUAGGGAUUGCAUCUCUUUUCUCGCGUUACUACAAAUCCCAUUCACGACUGAUUGUAUGAGAUGGAUGGCGAGAUGAUUAUCCUGCAAGUCACACCGACCUGGUGGGGUACGUAAUCUCGCUAGCACAUCCUGUGCUGUUGCCUCGUCAAGCGUACAGCGGGAAAAAAAGCUCUUGAGCUUUUCCUCCUCGCUCUCAGUCCAUGGGACGCCCUCGAUGUACUUUAAACAAGAGGUGAUGCCUCGAUCAAACAUGAUGGUGGAGGAUACCUGAAAUCAGAUGAGUUAAAAUGUUUUUUAGUCCGAUAUGAGUUUGCAGAGAAGAAAAGAAAAUGCAAGUUGUAUUGCAAAGAUGAAGAACCAUAAAGAAAGUAACGUUAUUAUAGUCGAGAUCAAAGUUAUGCACAUAGUAAUACAUGCCAUUCAUAGAUCUUACAAGCUAAUUUCUGUGAGUCAUGUUCAAUAAAAUCAACUUGUGAAUUAAAAUCAGCUCUUGAAUUAAACCUAUAAAGAUCUUUGCAGAGCCGAGAGCUAGAGUAAACAUACAGAAGGAGGCUUAAUUGCAAAUAGUAAAAUGCAAAUAGUAAAACAUGGUGAGAGAUAUGAACCAAAAUUUAUGAAGGAGAACGAUAGAAAUGAAUGAUGAGCAAACUGAGACAGAAAUCAAUUUUUGAAAGUCAUUAAACUAGGACGAAUCUAAAGCAGGUAGCAAAUCAAAAGGCAAAUAAAAAUCUGAUUACACUAUGUAGGAGGGUUUCCUUAAUUGGCUUCUGGCCAAUUCAGUUGGACAUAAUGGUUAAUAAGGGUCUAGUCUUCAGCAUGAAACAAUUUAUAAGGGUUUAAGAAAUGAAAGCCCAGCAAGCAUUUGAAUAGUUCCACAUAAACUAGCAACCAUGGUUGCCACAGCCACAUAAAAUGGUUGUGGAAUGACAAAUGUGCCAUACCUAGGACCAGAAAUGUAACGAGAUCCCCUCCACUAUAGGACAUUUUGAAAUAGGUCCCUCAAUUUAAAAUGAUGUCACUGAUACCCCCUUAACUUUUAAUUACUUUAAUUUGAGCUAUUCAAUCAUUUGAAUGAGACUGAAAUUACCGACGUCAUUAGGAACCGGAUGUUACAGACUUUGUUUGGCGAAUUUCGUGGAGUCGAAUAGAGUCUUGAAGGGUCGAAGAAGAUGAUAUCGAGGUUCAAGUUGCAAAGGCUCAUCUCACAGCCCCCAGGCAUGUUUAUAUUUUGUAAUGGUGAUUUAUGCGUAUGUUUAAGUGUUUGGGAGACAUCGGAAUAGGUUUAAAUUCUUAAACUUUACAAAAUGGGACAAUUUCAUGUUUCAAGGUUCGGACCUUGGUGCAAGGUCUGAAACCCGUGAGCCUUCCUGGCUGUCAUGCAUGGAGGGUCCAAACCUUGGUGCAAGGUCCGGAACCCCAUAAGCCCUCCUAGCUAAUACACAGCGAGGGUUCGGACCUUGAGGCUACUGUCCAGAACCCGUAAGUCUGUCUGGCAGUUACGUGAGGGUCCGAAUCUCGAGACUAAAAUCCGGACUUCUAAACCCUGACAGUUUCAAAGUUCGGACCCUAAUGUAAGGUCCGGACUCAGAACCCGUCGCAAGUUUUCGAAAUCCUAUUUUUCAAUCCUAGUUUGAAUCUAAUAUCUCCUAAGCCUAUAAAUAUGAUAUGGGAGUCUUUGUAAAACGUGACUAAAAUAGAAUAUCCUACGGAAACCCUAGAAACCUGUUUUCGGUGCUUUCUGAUCAUCUUCCCAAAGCAAGUUUCUUUCUUUCUUUCAUCAAUUUGAUUUUUAGGGUUUUAAAUCCUGAUAUUCUUUUAAUCAAAUUGAUGAUUGCUUAGAAGGUAUUUUCUCAUAUCUUAUCUAAGCAUUGAAAUCACCACCAACAAUCCUUCUACGGGCUCCGGUGAGAGCGUUCGCACAUGGACUUCGCGUGAGGGCCGAGGAUUCGGUGGACGCUGGAGCACUCGAGGCGUUGUUGCUGCGAGGAGUCACAGUAUAAUCAAUUGGAGGAGUUCAAUCAAUUGGGGAGCUACGAAGAUGAUCUACUUCGAGUCUAACGUAAAGGUUGAGUCGAGGAUUCGAUAAAUCACUUUGUACUCUACUUUUUUUAGUGAAUUUCUCAUGUGAUCGGUCCCGUGGAUUUUUUACUCCUCUUAAAGUUUUCCCACGUAAAAAUCUCGCUGUGUUGGCUUUAUUUUUCCGCACUAGAUUUUUAUUGAAUCGUGUUGAUUGGUUUUAUCAUUUACACCUAUUCACCCCCCCCUAAUACAAAAGACUUCCAAUCAUACUCCGAUAAAGUUUUUUAUCAACACUUUUCCCUUGGGUAUCCAUGCAAUAUGGUCAAAGGAGGUGCACAAAAGCCUCAAUAGCAAAACUAAUCAUAAUCCUCAUCUUGCGGAGGAAUAUUAGCACGACAAUAUUCCAACUUGUCAAAAAUAACUUUCAUAAUCCUGGAAAGCUUGCCAAGUAUUUUAGUGAUCCGUGCUUGUUUUGAUCCAAGACGUUCCUACUCAAAUGUGAUGCGCUCGAGCUCAGCAAAAAUCUGCUCUUGUUCAGAUGAAAGGCGUUGCUACUCUCUAUAGUUCGUUAGGAAAGAUUGUUGUAUAUGUAUCUUGUUGGGCAUCCCGCCGAGGCACAGGCACGAAGGAUCAACUUGAACAUUCCUCUUCCGAUCUGGCACUGAAUGGCAAAGGACAUCAAGACUUCAAAUCAGUAUCAGUAUGAACACCUUCCAUAUCCGAUGCUUAUUAUGAAGAUUUUGAAGAACAACGCUCCUAAUACGCAUUGCAACUCUUAUAAGUAUAGCCUUGGAAUGAUAAAUGAGGCAACUCUCAUCAAGUCAAGACCUCCACGGCGCACCACUCGACCUCCUAGGGGUCCUUAUUCCUCUUAUCCACCUCUUAUCCACCUGAGGAAGCAUAUAAGGAUGUCUCAGUGAGUUCUGUCUAUAGAGAACAACAGCACCUUUCAUCUGAACAAGAGAAAAUUUCUGUUGAGCUCCAGUGCAUCACAUCUGAACAGGAACAUCUUGAGGCAGAAUAAGUACAAAUCACUAAAAAGCUUAGCAAGCUUUCCAGGAUUAUGAAAGCUAUUUUCGACAAGUUGGGAUGUUGUCGUGCCGAUAUUCCUCCGCAAGAUGAGGAUUCUGAUUAGCUUUGCUAUUGGGGCUUUCGUGCACCUCCUUUGACCAUAUUGCAUUUUGGUUUUUGCAUCCUCCGUUCAUUGUUUUGGCAAUUUGUGACAAAAAAAGGGGAGAUGACUUAGAUGACUUGACAUCUUAAGAUGACUUUUGCUUGGCUUAGUUUUAUCUCUUACUAGUGUUUUGGUUGUGCUUGCUUAUGAUUGCUUAGCUUAUGCUUAUGCUUAGUUGUGCUUGCUUAUGAUUGCUUAGCUUUGUUUUAUCACNGAUGACUUGACAUCUUAAGAUGACUUUUGCUUGGCUUAGUUUUAUCUCUUACUAGUGUUUUGGUUGUGCUUGCUUAUGAUUGCUUAGCUUAUGCUUAUGCUUAGUUGUGCUUGCUUAUGAUUGCUUAGCUUUGUUUUAUCACUUACUAGUGUUUUGGUUGUGCUUGCUUAUGAUUGCUUAGCUUAUGCUUAUGCUUAUGCUUAUGCUUAUGGCAUUCAAAUUCAUGGAUUUGUAACGCUAUAUUUCUGGAAAAAAAAAAUUUGCGGGAAGUACAAGACUUCAAUACUUCUAGUUGCGUCUACGUCAUAGAAUUUGAAUUGAAAGUUGUAAUGAAUGUAUUUUGAAUUUUUCUUGGAUCGGUCACGCGAGAAGGUUGUCGUUUGGUGAUUGCAAUAAAUUCCGUUUAUUUUACUUUUGUAGUUAGGUGAGCUUUGUUUAUAUACUUUGUUUUGUCAUGAAAUCGCCAAAGGGGGAGAUUGUUACGGACUUUGUGUUGGCGAAUUUCGUGAAGUCGAAUGGAGCCUUGAAGGGUCGAAGAAAAAGAUAUCGAGGUUCAAGUCACAAAGGCUCGUCUAUGAAGCUCACAGCCCCAAGGUAUGUUUUUAUAUUGUAAUGGUGAUUUAUACAUAUAUUUAAGUGUUUGAGAGACAUCGGAAUAGGUUUAAAUUCUUAAACUUUAAAAAACAGAACAAUUUCAUGUUUCAGAGUACGGACCAUGGUGCAAGGUCUGGAACCCGUGAGCCUCCCUGGCUGUCAUGCAUGGAGGGUCCGGACCCUGGUGCAAUGUCCGAAACGCCGUAAACCCCCCUAGCUAAUACGCAACGAGGUUUCGGAUCUUGGGGCUAAGGUUCGGAACCCAUAAGUCUGUCUGACAGUUACACAGGGAGGGCCCAAACCUUGGGAAUAAAAUCCGAACUUUAAAACCCUAAGGCCCCAUUUGGUUUGGGGGAUAAGCGGGGAUAACGAAAGUUAUCCCCGCUAUUCCGCCAAACGGCGGUGAAAUUUGGCCGGGAUAUUUUAUCCCGGUCAAACCUUGCUAUUCUCGAUUAUCCCGGAAUAGCAAAGGAUUUGCUAUUCCUCCAUUUUGGUGGAAUAGUGCUAUUUCAAUGCUUAAUUUCAAACUUAAUUAAAAUUAUAAAUUGAAUUAAAACUAAAUUAUAUAAAUAUAAUAUAUUAUAUAUUAUAAUACAUUAUUUUUAUUAUAAAAUUAUUAAUUGUACUAUAUUAAUACAUAUUAUUUAUAUUUAAAUAUUAUAAUAAAAUUUAUAAUAAAUUAUAUUUAAAUAUNGAAUUAAAACUAAAUUAUAUAAAUAUAAUAUAUUAUAUAUUAUAAUACAUUAUUUUUAUUAUAAAAUUAUUAAUUGUACUAUAUUAAUACAUAUUAUUUAUAUUUAAAUAUUAUAAUAAAAUUUAUAAUAAAUUAUAUUUAAAUAUUAUAAUAAAUUCUUUUUAUUAAAUUUAAGUUUAAGUAGAAUUUUAAAAAAAUUUAAAUUUAAAAGGAUAAUAUCAUUACUUUUUUUAAAAAAAUUAUUAAAUUUAAAUUUUUAAAAAUUCAAAUUUAAAUAUAAUAAGAGGAUAAUAUCAUUACUUUUUAUUUAUAAAACCCACUAUCAUUCUUAUUUCAUCCUACCUAACCAAAUGCUAUUUUUUUUAUUCACAGAAAUAACCCAAUUUUCCUCCAAACACAAAAUUGAUCUAAUCCCCGCUUAUACCUCAAUUUAUACAUAUUCCUGGAAUAGUCACUUUUUGCUUAUCCCCGAACCAAACAAUACUUAACAGUUUCAAGGUCCGGACACUAAUGUAAGGUCCGGACCUUGAACCUGUCACAAGUUUUCGAAAUCCUAUUUUUUCAAUCCUAACCCGAUUCUAAUCUCCUAAGCCUAUAAAUAAAAUAUGGGAGUCUUUCUAAAACGUGACUAAUAUAGAAUAUCCUAUGGAAACCCUCAAAACUUGUUUUCGGUGCUUUCUGAUCAUCUUCCUAAAGCAAGUUUCUUUCUUUCUUUCAUCAAUUUGAUUCUUAGGUUUUUAAAUCCUGCUAUUCUUUUAAGAAUCAAGUUGAUGAUUGCUUAGAAAGUAUUCCCUCAUAUCUUAUGAGUUUCUAGGUAUUGAAAUCACCACCAACAAUCCAUCUACGGGCUCCAGACAGAGCGAUCACGCGUGAACUGUGCGUGAGGGCUGAGGAUUCGGUGGACGCUAGAGCAUUCGGGGCAUUGUUGCUGCGAGGAGUCGCAGUGUAAUCAGUUGGAGGAGGUCAAUUGAUUAGGGACCUACGAAGACGAUCUACUUCGAGUCUAGGGUAAAGGUUGAGUCGAGAACUUGGUAAAUCACUUGGUACUCUACUUUUCUUAUUGGAUUUUUCAUGUGAUCGGUCCCAUGGGUUUUUACUCCUCUUAGAAUUUUCCCACGUAAAAAUCUCGGUGUGUUGGCUUUAUUUCUCAGUACUUAAUUUUUAUUGCAUCGAGUUGAUUGGUUUUAUCAUUUACACCUAUUCACCCCCAUCUAGGUAUGUUUAUACCUUUUAGAUCUUAGGGUCCUUAUAACCUACACCGGAUGUCUGAUUUUGGAUCCAAUUACAUAUAUUGGACCUGACUCUAUAGGGAUUGCAAUCAAACUUCAAAAGAUAAAUAUCUAAAAAGUGAAAUAAUACUUGAAACUAUCCAAAAUGAGGAAUUGAAGUAAUCGGGUAACGAAAUCUCGCCGACAAGAAAUUAGAAGAAAAUGAGGAAAAAAAAAAACUCUGUUUAAAGCCCAACGGAGAGGAGAAAAAACAAGGGAAAGAAAAUUCUAGCCAGAUACCUAAGAACUCCAUUUCCUAUGCUAUUUAUGUACUCAGCCACAAUAUGAAGCAGCCCCUUAAUCAGAGAAGGGCCUAUACGAAUAAAUUGUUGCUGUAGUAGGUACCAAUAUUAAAAACAAGGUUGGCUAUUUUUGAAAAUUGCAGCAGCAGCAAAGAGGAAAUAGGGGCUCUAAUAGCUCUAGAAAAAAAAGGGGCAAUUGCUUAUAUACCCCUGAAAAGCUCCCGACUUUCUAAUUUAUCUCUCUUAGAAGGCAUGUUAAAAAUACUAUUCUUAUGUUUCAAGUUAUUUCAAAUAUACCUCUAGAGUUAAAUUUUAAUAGUGAACUAUUACCAAUAGUUGUUAUCUAUAUAAAAUUACUAUUUUGCUCUUUCCAAUAUACCAUUCUAUUAUCACCAACUUUUCUUAUUUGUCCUUAAAUUAGAGGCAAAAGAACUAUUUUUAUUUUUGGUCUUUUCAAAUAUACCCUUCUACCAUCACCAACUUUUCUUAUUUACCCUUAAGUUAAGGGCGAAAGAGAUAUUUUGAUUUUUUUAAAACUUUGGUAGAUAUAUAACUCACGUUUAAUCUGUAAUAACUUAACGGAUAAUAAUUGUAGGGUAUUUUUGAAUAACAGAAGAACAUAUAAGGGGUAUAUUGGGAAAAAAAAAGUAGGGGUUAAUUAAAUAUUUCCAAAGUUUUGAAGAAUAUAUAGGCAAUUAUCCCAAAGAAAAAAUAUGGCCAACAAGCAUUCUCCAAAUAUGAAAUAAAAUUUAGAAUAGAAAAUAACUAAAAAAAUAAGAGAAACGGUGAAGGCAGCAGAUUAGGCUUUUAGAGAAGGGCUGAUUGAAAUAAAACCUAAGAUCAGCCAGUAGAAACAGAGUAUGCAGGGAAAAGAUCAAUACAAUAGCAAUCACAAAAUAAAACAAAAGCAAUGAUUUAAACAUCCAAAACAUUGAAAAAUCAAGUUGAAAUCAAUCACAUUGCUUUUCGAGCUAACACCUAAUUAGAUACAGCUAAGCCUCACACUUGAGAAAUUUAAAAUUUCCAAACUCAUUAUAUAGUCAAAUUUUAGGCUGCAUGAGAGAGAGAGGAAUCGGCGAUAGGCAUAUUAAUGUAACAUGUUGCUAACUUCAAUGUGCGUCAUAAAAUCGAUGUAUUGUGCUCUCCCACACUACAAAAGAAGUGUAUCGGCCUUGGCGUAUUAAUUGCUAGAACAUGAACAACAACAGCCUAUGUUAUGCCACCACAUCUCAAAUGUUCAUAGAUGUUUUAUUUUGGUUCAGAGUUGUUCAAUCCCAUAAUGCUCACAACAGCGCUAGCUCCAUAACCAUCUUAAACCAUUUUCUCUAGUAUAUCACACUUUCAAUCAGACCAAACCUAUAAUUUGACUAAUUUCAACACGUUAUCAUUUCGCUGUCGCGGUCCCCUUCUCAUUACCCAUCUUUCUAAAAUUUGCACCAAAACUUCUUCUAGUAACUAAUCAUGCUCGUCAAUCACUAUAUUCAACUAACAGUACUACUUAAUUCAACCAACAAUCCGCAACAGGACACUGAAGGAGAAUCAGAAGCCUUUGAACACAUUUUAGACAUUAGACAAUAAUAAAAAAGUAAAGAUAAAAGGACAGUUAUACUGACCUCGAGUAUGUCGAUGGCUGGCGACACUCCCGCCUUUGCGAGCGCCCUCAACGCAUCCUCCUCAUACAUCAGCUCAAUGGUCUUUCUAAACACAUCCGUAUCCUCGAUUCCGCCGACUUCGAUCCUGGUGUAGCCCGCGAGCUCAUCCGAGAUCUUUCCAGUCGCUUCCAGAACCAUCGCGGCGAAGAAUCGGCUGCUCUCGCACAGAACCUUGGAGUCCAAUUCCAACAGCAAGCACGUCCCGUCCUUCCCCUUCAAUCUCAACCUCAGAUCCAGAGAUCUCUCCCUCGAGGACGCACAGCGAUCCGUCUCCGCCCUCUGAGACGCCGGAGAACCCUCUCCUUGGGCCGGAUCGGAAAUCUCCGGCUCCGCUGCCGCCGCCGCCGCGGAGGCGACGAUCUCUGGGAGGGGAUCGAGUGGAGGGUCGGAGUCGAUGGGGGAGACCCUACCUGGGGAGAGAAUGCGGCGGGGGUCGAUGAUGCCGAGGCCGAGCUUGCUUGUGGGGGAGGGGGAGCUGUAGAGGGAGGAGGGCUUCGGCGGGGGCUGCGGCGGGAGCUUGGAGAGGUGGUGGUGGUGGCGUUGGUGGUAGUGGUGACGGGGCGAGGAGCGGAGAUCGGGGCUCCCGGGGACGGCGGCGAAGGAGCAGCACCACGCCGCGCGCGGCCGGGGGCGGCGGGAUGCGGCGGCGGAGGAUAUCCGAGAGCCGCGAUCCGCCAUGGGAGGGGAGAUCUACGGCUAGGGCUAGGNCGGCGUCGUCUCCGCCCCUCAAGAGCCUCGGAUCGGCCAUUAGAUCCCUCUCGUAGGCUUUAUCUCGACUUAUUUCUAGGGCUAGGGUUAGGGUUUCGGCGUCGCCAUGGGAGAGGAGAGUUCGAGGUGAUCGUGUGAAGUGUGGCGAGGGGGGAAGAAGCUUUGGAUUCCUUACUCGCUUCGUUAUAAAAGAGUGAGAGAGACGUUAUUCAAGGGGGAAGAUGAGUAUCGGCUCCAAGUGGACUGGUCCAGUUUAGUUCGACGGUCAAGCGAAACGAUGACACGUGGACUUUCAAAGUCGUGUUGUCGGUUGUGGCAUCAGGGAGGACACGUGGAGAUAUGUAGUUGGCUAUAAGGAGCGAGAGAAAACGCCGGAUAGAUGGGUUUGGGGAGAGAUCAGGGCCGUACAUUAUCCCGUACACUGUGAAACUUAUAGGCUGUUACAAGCUGUCUCCAUGUCCAUGUGCUAACAAAACAAGCAAAUGCUUCCCAUACACCCAAAAAAGAUUAUAAAUUUUAGAUUUAAUUGUAUAAUACUAUAAUAUACUAUAUAUAUAUUGUACUAUUUUUUAAAAAAACACUAUAAAACUAUUUCUUUUAGAUUAAUUGCAUACAACCCUCUGUAAAUAUAGCAAACUACAUAUAGGUAGGGGUGGAAACGAGCCGAGCUCGAGCGAGCUUAUGUCAGCUCAAAUUCGGCUUGAAAUUAAUUUCGAGCCUAAAUCUAGGCUCAAGCUCGGCUUGAAAUUAAUUCGAGCCGAGCUCGAGCGAGCCUAAUUUCGAGUCGAGCCGAGCUCGAGUUCUUAACGAGCCGAUUGAAAUUCUCGACAUUGUAUAAUCAAUAGUUUAAUUUUUAUAAAAUAUUACCUACAAUUUGAUGCAACAUGUCCAAUAGUUAAAAAUACAAAAUAAUUGCAAGAAAUGUGAGCUAGGGUGACUGCCUGACUGGGUGAGAGUCUGUGAGAGAAAGAGAGAGAGAGAGAGAGAGGAAAAAUAUUAGGAAUUUGGAAAUUUGAAUGUUAUCAUGUUUUAGGAUUUUGUGUAACAGUGAAAGUCUGAAAGAGAGAGUGUGUUAUGUUAAUUUAGAGUUGGGCUCAAUUGCACGGUUGUACUUGUUGGGUUUAUUUUAUGGGCCAACAAUAAUGGCCUAAAUUAAAUUAAAGCCUAUAUAUAAUUAAAAUACAUUAUAUAUAUAUAUAUAUAUAUUCGAGCUUUUCGAGCUUUUCAAGCCUAAUUCGAACGAGCCGAGUAAUACUCAAGCUCGGCUUGAAAUGAAUUUCGAGUUUUUUUUUUGUUCAAGCUUUUAUAUAUAUAUAUAAAACUCCGGGCCGGAGUCCUCGAACAAAACAAUCCGCCCGGUCCUACUCUGUCGUUGCCACGUCCGGGACACAACUCAGGAGAUGGGUGAACUCCCGCUCGUACUCCCGAACCGUGCGGUUGCCUUGCUUGAGCUUGCGAAAAUCUUCCCGCAUCUUUCUCUUAUCACUGUCGGGGAAGUACUCGGUGAACAUUAGCUUGCGGAACUCCGCCCAAUCGAUCGGGGGAAGCUCCGGGGAUCGGUCCUGCUUGACCCUCCUCCACCAAGUCCUGGCCCGCUUCUCAAAGCAAUGCGCAGCCAAUUUCACCUUGUCCUUCUCCAAGGUGAAGAUGUCCUCAAAUAGAGUCUCCAUAGCUGUCAGCCAAGACUCCACCGUCGCUGGAUCCACCACCUCUCAGUCGAAGGUAGGCGGGCGAAACUUCGUGAACCUCGUGAGCGCCACGUAGCCGCGCUCACGCUCCGCCUCCUCAGCCGCCACUGCGGGAAUGGGAGAACGCGAACUAGCCGGAGGAAUAUCCACCGGUGGGGGUUGCACCGCCACCGGAACCGAAACGCCACCCGCACCCUCGGCCGCAUCAGGGGCACGAGCCGAAGGCGCAGGAGAACCGCGGCCUAGACCUGCCGGAGCAGCCGCCGCCACAACCUGCUGCUCCAAUAGCUCUUGGAGCCUAUCGAACCGUCCUGUGAGCGCCGCGACCUGCGCUCGCAACUCCUGCACCUCUGUAGGCCCAGCUGGCCCUGGCGCCACUGGAGGCACGGCUGGCCCGGGCACCUCUCGAGGUGGUGCCGGAGCGGUCCUACGCACGUAGCGCCUCUUUGGUGCCAUAGCUCCUGAAACGCAAACAGUUGGUUAAUUACUCAACCCAACAACAUCGUCGUGAUUACGAAACAUAACGAUUAAACGACAUCAAUCAGGCGGUAGCUNGUUUUAAAAUAGUUCCUUGUUUUAUUCUACUUGGAUUAAUUGAAGUAAAGUAACUAGCUAAUUAAUCUACAAAUAUUUGAAUCCGUUAUGUGCUCUUAUUAAGAAUAAACCAAUUUGAUCUCCAUAUCAUUACUGGACCCAUAUUAAUGGACCGUAUCAUUUGGUACUAAAUAACUUUUUGCUAAGUGAUGGGUACGUUUAUUAACCUUUUAUUUAUGUUAAGAGAAUGAAAUCGAUACAUUACCGUGCACUAUGGUCCUCAGGAAUUUAAUAGAACCAAUAACUUGAUACUGUUAAUAGUAUAAUAGCUUAUUAUAUAUAUAUAGAACUAGGUUGGAAUACUAUGAAUAGCACCAAGUUAUUGGUGUUACUAGAUUUUCUGCCCUUAGAUGAAAAAAUGUACGGUUAGAAUGAUGUGGACCCUUUAGGGUUGAGUGAGUUAUUAAUUUAAUAGUAUAAUCUAACGGGUGAAAAUAGUCAAAGGGUUAAAUCUAACGGCGAAAACCUUUUUUUGAGAGAAAGGUAGCACGCUACCCGCUUCAUUCAGUUAGGAAGUAAAUUAAGCUACAUGGGUGAGGCAGCAUAGGCCUCAAAGAAUGGCGGAAAAAAAAAAAUAAAAAACAAAAAACAAAAAAAAACAAAACAAAACAAAACAAAACGUUUACAGUUUGGUCACUUCUCUGGCCUAAUUUUCUUCCACAGGUCCGUCAACUGCUUAAUUUUGUGUAUACCGACUGUUGGAUCAGUCUGGAUCAUCCUGAAAAUCGCUUUAUUCCUGAAAUCCCAAAUGACCCACUAGCAGGCUAUAAGUCCUAAAAGCCCAGUUGAGGUCGGUUGGGUUCUCUUUCUUCCAGUCCAUCUAUCCCAGAUCAUAUGCACAUUAUGUCCCAAAUCUCCCAGAUGGGUAAUCUCCUGGGUCGACAACAUAAGAAAUCUAGUAACUACACACUGAGUGAAUAGGUGGUCCACUGUUUCCUCUUCCAAUCCACACAACAUGCAUUUUGUGUUACCAGUCCAUCCCCUCUUUACCAAAUUAUCAGCUGUCAGUGGUCUCUUCUUUAGUACAAGCCAACUGAACACUUUCAUUUUAAGAGGUAGACGUAAAGACCAGAUUCUGCCUGUACGGGCGUCCCGUGUGCUCCAUCCCUUAGAAUUGAAUAAGUUGACUUCACAGUAAAUCGUCCAUCGAUGCUCCAACGCUAAUGCACACUGUCCUGUCCUUGACUAAUUUGGGCAUUGGAAAUCCUAUCCUUAAGAGCUGUAAUGCUUGAAGCUGUGCCGUGAUUACAAUAGUACUCACCUCCCAGAAUCGUCUCCCAGUACCAACCAUUGCUACACAAACAAUCACUAAUUAUCAAAUUCUUGCGAGGCGAUAAUUGAAAGAUCUCGGGGAAUGACGAACGUAGGAUGGUUUCCCCACACCAACGAUCAUCCCAAAAGUCUAUAUUAUGUCCAUUACCCAACUUGUAAAAUACUCCCCAUUUGUAGAUAUUUUUUAUGCUUAGAACUCCCUUCCACCAAAAGGAAGGCGGACAGAAGCAACGUCCCUCCUUCAGCGGUCUUCUUCUUUGAUAGAACAAGUCGCGAAUUAAUUUAAUCCAUUGCAACUGGGGUGCAUUCUGAAACUUCCACCACCACUUAACGAGGAGGGCACGGUUCAUAGUACUAGUGUCAAGGAUGCCCAGACCGCCCUCAUUCUUAUUCCGGCAAACACUCUGCCACGCCACCAGGCACUUUUUUCCAGGAGAAGUCAAUCCUCCGGUCCAAAAGAAAUCUCUUUGUGGUGCCUCAAUACGCUUGAUUACCCAUUUAGGAGUCAUGAAAACUGAGAGAUAGUAAAGGGGUAGAUUAGUGAGUACCGCAUUUACAAGGAUAAGUCUGCCUUCUCUUAAUAGAAGUUUAGCUUGCCACCCGUCGAUUUUGCUUUGGAUUUUACGUAUGAUCCUUCUCCAGUCCUCCUUAGAUGGUGGUCUGAUCGACAAAGGAAAGCCUAGAUACCUAGUUGGCAAGCUCCUGACUUUGCAUUUGAGUAAUUGCGCAAGCACCAUGGCUUUUCCCUCCACCAUUCCAGUGUAAUAACAUUCUGAUUUCUCUUUAUUAAUUCUCAUUCCAGAUGCCCAUUCGAAGAGUUGCCAAAUAAACUUUAGAUUUCUCAAGCAUUUUUUCUUGGCCUCACAGAAGAAGAAGGUAUCGUCUGCAAAUUGAAUGAGGGUAGUCCUGGAUGCCUCUGUGGGACCAAUACCAGUAAUGAGAUUGUUACCGAGUGCCUCAUUAGUCAGUUUGGCAAGACAUUCUACAACAAGUAGGAAUAGGAAAGGGAAAAUCGGGUCCCUCUGGCGUAUACCCUUCUUCAUCUUAAUACAGUUAGUAGUGUCGUCAUUAAUCAGAACAGCAACCUUGGCGUUGCAAACGCAGAGUUUGAUCCAGUUACACCAUUUAGUGUCGAAGCCCCACCAGUCUAAGCUACGAAAAAGGAAAGGCUAGUAAAUUCUAUCAUAUGCCUUUUCAAAAUCUACCUUUACUCCUACUCCUUCAACCCCUGACCUACUUCCCCAACCUAAAAGCUCACGGACAGUUACAAAAGCAUCAGUGAUGUUUCUCCCCUUCAGGAAAGCCGAUUGGGAGGGGAAUAUCAGAUCACUCAUAACCUAUUCCAGCCGAUUGGCUAAAGCCUUAGAUAUGAUCUUCUGAAUCCCGUUCAGGAAGCUAAUGGGUCUGAAGUCAUUCGCUCGUUUAGCACCUUCCUUCUUAGGGAUUAGACAAAUGAAGGUGUAGUCAAUAGGGCCGGUGUGCAAUCUCCCCUCAAACAUUUCUUGAAAUAUAUUGAAUAAGUCACCAUCGAGAGUGUCCCAGAAUGUUUGGUAAAAGCUCAAGGGAAAACCGUCAGGUCCCGGCGCCUUAUCCUUUCCCAAUUGAAAGAUUGCUCGUUUAAUUUCAUCUAAACUAAAAGGCCCCGAGAUAUGAGUUAGGGUGUCGGAGCUAAUUCGCCUCGAUCGAAAUAAAUUGCUCCAAUCCCCAAAGGAUGUUGGAGCUGAAUCUUCAGGCGUGAAUACCUCCUGGAACUUCUCGAAUAAGUAGCGCUUUCUAUCCCCUUCAGAAUGGUACACCGAUUCCCCAUCUUCCAGCAUUUCAAUCCAGUUCGUUCUCCUUCUGCCGUUGGCUAUCGCAUGGAAAAAUUUUGUAUUGCUAUCUCCUUCUUUUAGCCAAUGUUGCUUCGCUCUCGUCCUCCACAUCUCUUCUUCGUCUUUAAGCACCCUUUGUAAUUUAGCCUUGAGUUCCUCCCUUCUCUUAACUGUUUCCAUUGUUAUUUCACUCGGCUCCUCCUCAAUAUCGAUCUUCUGAAUUUCCUCCAUUAUUUUAUACUUAUGUCCCUUAAUACUGUAGAACUCGUUAGCGCACCAUUCUUUAAUCCUGGUUCUACAAUGUCUCAAUUUAGCCGUGAAUGUGAGUAACGCCAAAUUUUUCUUAGCCCCCACCGGCCAGGCAAUUUGGCUACAAAGUCAUCGUGGUGCAGCCAAGCUACUUCAAACCGAAAAACCUUCUUUGGCCUAUUAUUAACACUCUCGACUGAAAGUAGAAUAGGCCAGUGGUCCGAAGUUGUUCUAGGCAGACCAAUCACCCUGGAAAGGGGGAAAGCCUGUUCCCAUUCCGUUGAGACAAGGAAACGGUUUAGUUUAGCGAGGGAUGGCUUUCGCUGCAUAUUGGACCAAGUAAAAGAAUGGUUAGACAAAGGGAGAUCUAGUAGCUCCAAAUCCUUAAUAAGUUUGUUAAAUAAAUCCGUCACUCGUGAGCUCCAAGUUUUCCCCCGUCGCUCAUCUUGGUUCCUUGUGCUAUUAAAAUCUCCACAUAGAAUCCACUUUCCUUUACAGCAAUCCUUCAAAUGUAGUAGCUCGGAGUAAAAGUCCUCCUUUCCAUCCCAAGUGGCUUGCCCCUAUACGUUAGUCAUGAAGAACGUAGAUCCGUUGUUAAGCAAAGUCAGUAGAACCGUAAUGGAAUAACGUCGAACAAUAACUUCAUGGCAGGAGAAAAUACGAGAGCUCCAGCAUGUGAUCAUGCCCCCAGAAGCCCCGAUGGCUUCGACAAAAACACAUUUAUCAAGAAAAGAUCCGGCGAAACUACGGAGGAAAGACCCUGAAAUAUGACUUACUUUUGAUUCUUGAAGGCACACUAUUGCAUUACGAACCUUCGAGAUUACAUCCCUUACAGCAAAACGUUUAGAAGGGUCAUUAAGCCCUCUAACAUUCCAACUACAAACCUUAAACAUCACUAAGAAGAGGCACCAUACUCCCAAAAAGUCGCCAAAAGGUGUCGACUCCCCACACCACUCGGCCCACUUACACGCAUUCUUUCACAAACUCGGCGAAUUUAUUCGCCUCGGUUCCGUCCAGGAUCACCCCACAACGACGACUCUUAUGGAUAAUCUUUUUCAAAUAUGAUUUAGUUGCUAACUCAGUUCCCCCCUCCCGCUGUCUCAUCUUCCUGGAAACCGCUUUGGAAAAGAUGGAUGUCUUGUCUCCGCUCGCCAGGCGUGCACUGGCUCGUGUGGGUGGGAUUCCUUUCUCCUUCCUCAGAAAUUCUGUACACCCCACCGACAUCGCUUGGUUCUCCUCCUAGAUCCCAUGCAACACUUCGUUGACACUGGCUAUACCCUUUUUUUUAAUGUUGUCCCUGUAAAAGAUGAGUAAUAUUCAUAUUUGUUCCUCUGGUUUGUUACCGUUAGAGAACUGUUUAAUUUUUAACAACAGAUAAGUGAAAUGUUAAUUUUGCCAUCACAAAUAUGUCCGUCCAAAAGCGCCAACUGUUAUAAUCGUGUAGAAAUGUUCUCCUAAAAAAUUUUCAAUGAUCAUCCUUUUUCUCAUCUUCUUUCUCUUUAAAAUCUAACUCAAUUUACCAUUGUUGCAACCUCUUCUCUCACUCCUUUUCUCCUAAAUCUUUUCUUUUGAGCAAAAUUUUUAAAAAAAAUCAUAGAGAAAAUUGAAUGAAGAAGCAACAAGUGUUCAACAAGGGCGAAACAACAUGUGUUCGACACGGGUGAAGCAACACGCGUUCGACACGGGCAAAGCAACGUGCGUCGUGGAUGAAUGGGGAUAGAGAAAUUCUAGUUACAUAUUCAAAAUUGGCAUAAAGAAGAGCGAGGAAGACGAAAAGGAAAGGAAAAGAAAGAAAAGUUCCCAUUGCUAGGUUUUGAUCAAAAGAAGAAUGUAUAAUAUAAGAGAGUAAAAAUAUUAAUUUACUUCAUUGACUAGGGUUAAGCAUUUUACCUAUGAUUAGCUAAAAUUUUUUAACGGGCCCUAACGGUAGAGACAUAUUUCAAAAUAGGGAUAAUUGCUUAUAUACCCCUCAUACGUUUGAAAAUAUCCGAUUUACCCCUACUUUUUUUUUUCUUUCUAAAAUACCCUUUAUAUGUUCCACCGUUAUUGCAAAAUACCCCGCAAUUAUCUCCUGUUAAGUUAACUUGGGUUAAACGUGAGUUAAACAUCUACCACAGUUAAAAAAAAUUAAAAUGUCAAUUUUGCACUUAACUUAAGGACAAAUAAGAAAUAUUGGUGACGGUAGAGGGGUAUAUUGGAAAAGACCAAAAGUCAAAAUACUUUUUGUGCCCCUGACUUAAAGGGCAAAUAAGAAAGUCAGUGAUGGUGGAAGGGUAUAUUUGAAAGGGCAAAAUAGUAAUUUUACAGAGUUAACAGAGUUAAUUAACAGAUUUUAACUCUAGGGGUAUAUUAGAAAUAGGUUGGAACGUAAAGAGGGUAUUUUCAAUAUUAGCCUUUUAAGAGGGAUAAAUCGAAAAGUCGAGAACUUUUCAGGGACAUAUAAGCAAUUGCCCCCUGAAAAUAUUAUGACUUUUAUAGAGAUAACAUAAAAAAGUUAACCUUUGUAAGAAUAAUUUAUAAUUCACUAUGUUUACAGGGGUCUGUAUGCAAUUAACCAUUAUUUUUUUCAAUUCCUACGCUAUAAACAAUAAAAAAAAAACUAUGAUUUUAUGUAGAAAUUGUUAAAAAAAAAUACUAGCUAAAAAUGACAAAGUAUAUAUUUAGGGAGCUAUAUGUAAUUCGCUAUGUUUACAUAGAGCUUUAUGCAAUAAACCUUUUUUUUUAAUUCCCACAUUAUAAACAAUAAAAAAAUAUAAUUUUCUAUAGAAAUUGUUAAAAAAUACUAGCUAAAAAUGACAGAGUAUAUAUUCAGCUUAUUUUCACAUAAAAAUAAUAAAUACAUAAAAUUAACAAUAAUUAAAAUAACUCAAUAGAAAUUUUCAGUGAGUACAUUAUAGAGAUAUAUUUUAUAAUUUUUUUCUACUAUUUAACAGGUACCUUUUAGUAAAAUUAUUAGAUUUUUCUAAAAUAAUAAAUUUAUUAAUACUAAUAUAGAGAUUAGCGAGAAAAAAAUAAUUUUAUAAUAUCUAUGAGAAAAGUAAGUAUAAGACAAGAAAACAAAAAAAAAAAAAUCUAAAAUAUAGUGUAAAAAGUGAUAGAAUACAAUAAUACAAUGGUGUCUUUGAAAAAAAAAGAAAAGUAUAAUGAAGCAAAAAAAAAUAAGGGUUAACUUCAAAUACCACCCUUGUGGUUUGGCGCUUUCUCACUUUAGUACCCUGUAGUUUAAAGUGUAUCAAGUUUGUGUCCUUUGGUUUUAUUUUUAUCUUUUCGUUAGCUUCUCCGUUAUUAUUUUGUUAAAUUAUAUACAAAAAACUUCAAAUAUCCCACUUAGGUUUAUCAAAUAUUUACUUUAGCACCCUUUAGUUUUAACUUUGUCACUGAUUUAACGAAAAAAAUUAGUGAAAUCGAUAAUAAAAAGAUAAAAUUGAAACCACAUGACUCUAAUUAAAUUGAUACAGUUUAAACCGCAUGGUACUAAAAUAAGAAAGUGUGAAACCACAAGGGUGGUAUUUGAUAUUUUCCCUAAAAAUAACACUAAAGUAAAGUAUGAUAGAGCGUAAUUACGUUUAAAUUUUACACUAUUAUUUUAGAAAAUGAUUUUUUUAAAAAAUAGUUAAUAUUUAAAAAAUUAAUUUGACAAGACAAUGGCUCAUUAUGAGUCCUAAGAUAAGGAGGAGGAAGUUUACUAUGUAACACUUACAAUAUAUCACCAAUAACCAGUCAAUGAGAUCUUUCUUUUUGAAAGAAAAGUACAAUAAAAUUAUUUUUCUAAUAACCAUGAUAGGAUUAGUGAAUCCAAUAAGAAGAAUAAUUUGAUUGGUUAGGAACACUACAUCAGCAAUAUAAUCGGUGCAUUCUAGACUUUUUCUUAAAUAAGGGGUGUAAGUUCACUCAAACUUUUUAAGUAUACUAGUAGUAUUGCUCGAAUAAAUACUUUUACUAUUCUUAUGAUAUGUGUAAAAAUAUAUUAAAAGCUUUUAUAUAUUAAGUGUCAACACGUAUCAAAGCAAUACAAUAGAAGCAUACAGUGAUGAGUGUAUCAGACUUGAGAGAUUUCACUAAGCACUAGUUGUCAAUUUCAGCUUGUAGGCAAUGAAGUCAUAUGGUCGUGCGAUACAACAACUCGCAGUCAAUGCCAUGGCUCUUAUGCGCCUCCAACUCCCUCCCUCCCCUCUGUGAUUUUGCUAGUCAUGACAAAGUACCUAUCAGCUUUGCUACCAAUUGUCAGAAACCAAAGCUCUUGCUUUAGUACCAAUUGAUAGAAUCGGCAAAAGGUAACCCGAGCACAUCUCUAAACCCUUUCGACAGAACAGCACAGUUAUGUAUAGAAACUUGACGAGAUCGAUCGAGAAAACAAGCAAAAGAACGACAAAACAAUAAAGAAACAAAGCACAUAAGGAUUUUAUGUGUUUCGGCCAAUGACACGUCGACCUACGUCUAUGUGCAAUUAUUCUUCAAUUCAUUCUUCGAUUAAUCCAUGACAUAAAGAGCACAAAGAAGAAAUUUUGGAAUUAAAAAUAUAUUUCAACACUCUUCUACUCCUUUCUCUUCCAAUGAGGAUUUCACAAUAAAGCUCUAAACCCUAAAUAGGAAUUCCUAGGGUUUUAAACCCAAAACUCCAAAACAAAAAAGGAAUGAUGAUCAUCAUCCAUCUGAGUUAAAAAAACCCUCCACAAGACGUUCUUGGUCCAUCCCUAAUCCACGACCAUCUAGUUUCGAAACCUAAAGUAGUGGUUUUAGAACCUGACACUUCAAAACAAAUUUUUAGUAUGUUAUGUUCUAUAACAUGAGUUGCUAAUUCCAAAACACGGCCUAUAUUUUCGAACAUGGAUAAGGCAUUAUGGAACAUAAGUCAUCAAGUAAGCCUCCAACACUUUCGUGUUCUGCAGAAUGUUGCCCCGGGUUCUAGAAUAUGGUUAGUUUUCAAAACACACAUUAUAAAGUUCUGAAAUAUGCAUUCAGUAAUCUGAAAAAUUUGACACUAGACCAUAAAAUCGACUUGGAACAUGCUUCACUUUGAUUAAGCAUUUCUCUCACUUGAAGAUAUAGGGAUGCAAAUAUAUUCAAGUUGGUGGAGCUCUGCUCCAAUCAACCUCAAAUUGGGAGGGCACGUGGAAACUAAAAAUAGUGGGAAGCGAGAGGCUCUCUUCUUUCUCUGAUCUACCUCGAUCCACCAAAAAUCAGUUUCCACCUUGAGCCACCCCAAAUAGUACAGUAAAUGGGGGCAAAAAAAAGAAUAAAAAUUAAUCCGCUCUGAAUAUGCUGUGACUUUAUAAGGAACAGGGCAAGAGAAGGGGGAUUCCAUUCACCCCGGAUUAGCCCCGGUUGCAUCCCUACUGGAAGACGUGUUGAACUCAAAAUGCUAAUCACAAAUCUUGCCAACACCCACUUCUCAUGUAGCUCCAAAACCAAGAAAAGUUUUGCUCCAUUAAAAUUUCCUCGAGUAACCAAUUUCAUCAAAAUAUCCACUAGAUUUGCAUCAAUAUGAGCCUUCAACUAUGAGAUAAGAUCGAUCUUCCUCCAACACAUCUCUUACAUAGUGAUAAUGAAUGUUAAUGUGUUCUGUACAAGAGUGAAAUGUAAAUUUUUCGGCAAAUGUAACCCGUUUUGACUAUCGCAAUUCAUCUUUACAAUAUUUUGCUUUAUUUUCAAAUAUCCUAGAAGCCUUCUCAAUCAAAUGGCCUUCUUACAAGCAUGUGCCACUGCUAUAUACUGUACCUCUUUCAUUGAUAAUGCAACCACCAAUUGAAGCUUUGACUCCUAGUCAAUAGCACUUUCGAUCAUGAAGAAUACAAGACCAAUGGUAAAUCCUCUCUUAUCUCUAUCUCUUACAAAAUCCACAUUAAUAUAUCUGACGCAUUCUAUCCCUAUGGAACCAUAACAAAUUAAGUAACUUAUAAGUCCACAUUAAACCUGAGGAUCCAUUUCACUGCUGCCUAAUGAUCACAAUCAGAAUUUGCUAUAUAACAACUCACCAAUCCCUUUGCUCGCAUAAUGUUGAGCUUCAUAUAUACUAUACCAAACAUAAGGCUCCAUACUACUGAUGAAUAUACUACCUAGGUUAUGUCCACCUCUUCCAUUUCCAUACUAAGUGUUUGUUCUUUUCCACUUCCGUACUAAGUUUUUGCUCGAUUAACGAUAUCAAAUGAAUAAAUAAUAGCAUAAAUGCUAGUUUUUGAGUUCUACAUGUUGAAGUGUUACAAAACAUUCUCUACCUAACCCUUUUGCGAAAACCAUAUCUUCAUUUUCUUCCUCUUUCAUAGUAUCAUUAACUCAAAUAUCUAACUUGCAGCUCCUAAUUUUUUUGCCGGCAAAUUGAAUCUUCAGAGUAGAUAUCCAACCAUUCCUCUUCCCUGUGACCACUCUGUCAUCAACAUCUAAUAGCAAAAUAUAGAAACUUCAUCAUUAUAGCAGUAGUAGCCACAAAAAUCUGCUUCAAUCCUAUCAAACUCCAAACUUAUUAUAACAUCAUCAAAUCGCUUGUACCAACACAUUGGCGCCUAUUUUAAGUCUUACCCGCCAAUCUAUAAAGACUUCAUACUUGCUUUCCCUUUAUCAGCACCAAGUAUCCUCGACACAUAUUUCUCACAAAACUUUUCAAAGGAGAGAAUUUUUUUUCAAAAUGCAGGAACAUGCCAAACAUUAGAAAUAGUCCGAAUAGCAUCAUCAACAUCUUGAUCCUAACGUCUCCCACUCUAACCACAAGACAUUAUAUUGUAUCCCAAUAAAUGACUCCCUCAUUCUAUGGUUUAUAAGUAUGAAACUACUCCCUUUAGGGAGUCAUGUGGAAUGACCCUUUUGAAUUCAAGAUCUGAUGAUAAAUAAUCUCAGAUCUAUACAAUACGGUCAAAGCAUCUUCGUCCUUUGAAGUAGUAGAUCUAGCAUCCGCUUUUACUAUAUUACCUUGAAAGUUACUUGUAUUGGGUUUACUAUUUACCCUCCUUCCCAACUGACAAUCUUCUUUACGUGCCCCAAUUUUUUGCAAUUUUUUUAUUUUGCUUUUUUUGCCCUUAAAUUUUGAUUUUGAUUAUAUCCUAUCACCAUGCUCCCUCUCGAAUUAAAGAUCUUCCUUAAGCUUCUAUGGCCUCCCCUAAAGAGCCUUCUUGGCUAAACCUGUGCAUAAUCUACUCGGUUAGUAAUGAUACCACUACAGAUUCCAUCUCAAGGGUUUUGACGUGGCUCAUCUUAAUGGUUAAAUUAUCUCAAUACUCAAGCAUCAACCAGAAAGCAAAAUACUAACUUUCUAUUCUUCAUCAAUCUUCACAUCAAGGGCCACGAGCUUGCUCACUAUAGAGUUGAAUGAACUCAAAUAUUCUAGUACUAAUGCCCCGUCUUUCAUCUUUACAUUGUACAGUUGCCUACUUAGAAGAUAUUAUUCACCAAGGACUUUCUUCAUAGAGACUUUUCAAUUUCUCCCAAACCCUUUUUGCUGAAGUGUCAAUCUUCAUAGUGAAUAUCACUGAAUCUUCUGAUACAAAAAGUAGAUUUACCAACAUCAUUCUUUUCAAAUUGCUUAUCAGUCAUCCGCUCCGACUUGUUCUUCUUUUCUUGUAGAGUAAUAUCACAACCACCUUUUUUACAAGCAAUCCAUUCAUCUUUAACUCUCAAAGUGCAAAGGGUCCCCGUGAAGCAAGGGAUCUCAAACUUGGUAGCAUCUUUCCCCGCCAUUAUUUCAUUCUCAAUUUCUAUCUACAAAGAACCCAACUUUGAUACCAAUUAUUAGCUCUAAUACCAACUAUUAGAAACCAAGGCUUUCGUUUCGAUACCAAUUGAUAGAAUCGAUGAGGAGUAACUUGCACACCUUGAAAUCCUCUCGAUACAAUAACACAACAGAAAACCAAAUCUUAUAUAUGUAUAAAAACUUGACAAGAUCAAUAUAGAGAAAACAAGCACAUGAACAACAAAGCAAUAAAGAGACAAAGCACAUAAGAAAUUUACGUGUUUUGGCUAACUAUGUAUCAACGCACAUCCACGGUCAAGACCUCCUUUAAUUCAUUCUUCAAUUAAUCCACGACAAAAAUAGUGCAAGGAAUAAAGUUGAAAACAUAUAUCUCUCUUAAGGCUCUCCCAUUCUUUUCUCUCCUAAUAAAGAUUUCACAAUGAAGCUAAAUCCUAAAAUAGGGAUUACUAGGUUUUAAACCCUGAAACCCAAAAAUAGAAAAAAAUGAUCACCAUCAUCCAUUCGAGUGCUCUAAUUCACUUCUAACUGUCAAUCUUUGCUUAAAAACCCUCCGCAAGAAAUUUUUAGUCAAUUCUUAAUCUAAAAGUACAAGAUUACAUUAUACUGAUUCGGAGUCGAAUUCAACUUGUUCACCAUGAUCACCUCGUUCUAAAAGAGCGUUUGGUUGGGGUAUAAGCAAGAACUAGCUAUUACAGGGAUAGGUACAAGAAUGAGGAUAAGAAAAAUGGCGUUUGGAUGAAAAUUGGAUUGUUCCCGGCGAUAAGAAAAAUAACGUUUAGAUAGAUAAUAUGGAAUAAGAAAAAUAGUGGGUAGUUAUAUAUAAAAAAUGGAGGUGUUGGUGGGGAUAGUUAUACCAGCUUAUUUCAGGUACUCGAGAACUACUAUUCUCGGAUAAAAAAUUUGCAUUUGGGUAUAAAGAGGGGGUUAAGGGGUUAUCCCUCCCCUUAUCCCCUAUCCAAACGGUGAACAAUAGUGCCAGAAUCUAACAUUCCAGAACAAGUUUUAUCAUGUCGUAUUUUGAGACCUAAGUUGCUGGUUUUGAAACAUAGACUGCAUUCUGAAACAUAAAUAAGGCAUUUCAGAAUAUGUAUUUCGGAACAUAAGUCAUGAAACCAGCCUCCGAUGCCUUCGAGAUCUACCAAAUAUUUUCCUACGUUACGAAACAUGGUUAGGUUUUGGAAUACACUUUAUGAGGUUCCGGAAUAUGCAUCCAAUAACUUGAAAAACUUAAGCAUGACUGUAGAAUCGACUAAGAACUUUGGCUUCACCUUGAUCUAACAAUACUAAUGCUUGUAGAUCACCGAGAUAGAGCUAAUAAGAGCCAAUAAAACAAAUGCACUCUAACAGAAGGAAAAUAAUCGAAGGCAAAUCCUCCAUAGCUCAGAUUGUAGGAUUUUCUAAUUAACCAAGCAAUUCCACCAUCCAACGAAGCAACGAUAAUCAUGAUUGUUAGCGGUAAUCCAGAUAUUGACCAAUCAGACAGUUUACGUUCAUCAUAUAUUAGAACCCAGGUCUAAGAAUAGUCAUACAUCAGACACGAAAACGUAUGACGCAUGGGUAUAUAAGCUGGAUAGGCUAGACUUGAUAUCCAUAAUUAAGUUGAUUGGUGCAUUUGGCCCAACAGGUUAUCAGGACUACAAUACCCAGAUAAUUGGCUCACAAGCUUAGUAAUGGUUGACCCCAUGAGAAGCUGGUCAUGAUAGUGGUAUAAUAUAGCAAACCAGCCAACUGAGAGUUUGCCUAACAAACUUAGACUAUAUGUGUGUGAUUAAGCUCAACGAGAAUGCCAAAGCUAAAAAGGGAGGAAGUAUGUGACACUUUGGGGGUAAGAAUAGUCCCACAUUAGAUGUAAAACCCAUGGUGCAUGGGUACAUCUAGAUAGGUUAGACUUGAUUAUCGAGAUUAAAUAUUCUGGGCCGAUGGGUUUAGCUAAGCAGAUUAUCAAGUGUACAAAAUACCCAGUUAAUCAAACCAUGAGCUUCGUGAUGGGUUACACCCUAGGAAGCUGGCCAUGACAUUAUUAAAUCUUGCGCCUUUCGAUUGAAACUCUUACACAGCGAAUGCUCUCGAAAAAUGCUUUGCUAGUCCAACAAACACUGUCUUUGUGCUAUUAAUGUGUUAAUAAAUUCACACAGCACUUAAGACUACACAUAUGAAUUGAGAAAGUCUUCUUUGCAAUAAGUAUUUCACAUGGGAUUUGUUGCUAAUUAAUUUAUUCUAUUGAGUUAUGUAUAGAUAGUGACAGCUAUAGUAAUGAAAAAAUGAUAACUUUACAUUGAAAUGAUGUUAAUUGAAAAAAUUAGACUUAUUAUCAAGAUGAAAAUUUGUAACUAAAUAACAUUUUUACUACAGAAAUAACUACUACUAAGAAGACUUUCUUGCAUAAACAAACUAAAAAGACUUUGCAUAAUAUAUGUUAACAUUUCAACAGCAAGAAGUUGUUAAAAUUGGAAUGGCAAAAAAUAGAUCCAGAAAAAUAUUUAAUGCAGGAAAAGAAAAAAAAAAUAAAAGAAAAUUUACGUGGUUCGACCAAUGACCUACGUCCACGGGUGAAGACGGAGCAAAGUCUUUAGUAAUGUCGAAAGACGAAGUACAAAAAAAUCUCUCAAAAGGAUAAAACUUAAUUAGAUCCGAAAUGCCGAAAUCCGCAUUCAUACAAGCGACUCCAAAAACAGCUCGGCUCCUCAGAGAUGCUCACUUGAUUAAUUAGUGCUCCAACUCUCUUGGAUCAUGAUGUUGCUGCCACCGUCUGUGUUAUAGUAAAUUCGCGAAUUAUUCACGAAUUAUUAAAAAUCCGAAUUAAACGAUCCGUUUACAAAUUUUUUCCAAAAAUAGAAAAUUAUUCGCGAAUUUUUGGGUUAGCCGAAUAAUUCGCUAAUUAUUCGCCGCUAAUUAUUCACGAAUUAUUGAAAAUAUGAAUAAAAAAUAUAUAAUUUUUAUAUUUAAAUAUAUAUUAUCUUAUAUUUUAUAUUUUAUAUUUUAUAUUUUAUAUUUUAUAUUUUAUACCAAAUUCAUUUUUUAAGCCUAAUUUUUCAACGAAUUUAAAAAUUAAAAAAUAAAUUUUAUGCGUAUUAUAUCCGUACCGAAUUUUUGCCGAAUCCGAAUUAACUAACUAUGGACAUCGUACGGAACACCAAAGCACGAAGCUCGGUUCUCUCCGCAGCAACCGGACCCUCCAAGAGUCUUAAUUAAUUAGUGCAUAGCCUAAUUAGAGUAGCCAGCUUCAUUAACUUGGUCGUGGUCAUAUAUAUAUAAUUGAUAACUCCUAACCACAAAUCUAAUUCUAACUCGGUUAGAAUUAGAUUCCUACUUAGCCAAAGUUAAAUCUAUAUUAUAUUUUAUCCUAAUUAGAUUUAGAAAACUACAAAUCUAAAUCAAAUUUAAUAACAACGAGUAAAAUCAACGUGCAACAAAUUGAGACAGGACGUUGGCGGAUUAACGAGUUCAUAAAACGAGACGAGAUCAGAUCCUGGUAAUCACAAUAUUAAUUCCGCACCAUAAAAGAGGUAUGUAAAAAUCUAUGUGAUUUUUGCGACGAUUGAUUUUUUUUUGGAUAUUUAAUUAAUUUUAUACAACAGUGGUAUCAGAGCCAUAUAGUGCUUAUUUUCGUUCUAUAAUUCGUUUUCAUAUAUAUUUUUUUAAUUUGUUAAAAUAUAAUGAAUUGCUUUUUGGUUGAGGCAAUGAAGCAAUCCACUUGAGGCCCGCCUGUGGCAUUACAGAGCCUAUCCGCAAUGGGCUUGCGAGGCCUGCCGGUGCCGGGCCUGCGGGUGCCCGAACGUGGGCCUUGCGGAGCCGCCCUUGCUGGGCAUGCAGGGCUUGCCAGUGCCGGGCCUGCGGGGGGCCCGCAAAUGCAGGGCCUGCGGCCUUGCAGAGCCGCCCUAGCCGGGCUUUCGGAGUCCGCAAGAAUUGGGCCCAAGCAUGCCCAUAUCAUGGCCUUAAUAGUUCAAUUCAAAUUAAAAUAAAAAAAAAAAAAGAAGAGAUAAGCUCUGUAGGCAGUGAGACUUGAACUCUUCACCUUAUCUUUAAAUUUGCUUCAUCCAACCAGUAGAAUCAAUAUUACUUAUAUAAUGCCAUAUGCCACUGAAUUAUUAUAUAUUGUUUCUUGCUAUGAUGAUACUUUGAAAGUUGCAAUGUGUUAUUUUGAUUAAAUUGCAUAAUAUUCAUCAUUUAUUUUGUGACGUGGAUUUAUUCUUGAUUAAUUUGAUAUAUUAUUUUUAUCUGCAUUGGAUGAGAUGAUUUUUAGUCUUUUCAAAGGCAAAAUUUUCGAUUUGAAGAUGCAGUGAGAAAUUAUAUUAUCAAAUUGGAUUGAGAAUAAGAUUAUGGAUAUCUGUGCCUAAUUUAAUAUUAUGUGCAUUAUUGUAGUGAUAAAUGGCUUUCAAAAAUCUUUCCAUCGCGGAUUUGUUAAAUCAAGAUAGGCUUGAUGGAACGAACUAUGACAUGUCGCAUAGAAAAAUUCAAUAUCUCCUUAAUGAGAAAGGGAUACUUAGCCAUUUAACCAACAGUAUGGUUCAGCCUGAAAAAGGCACGACGGCUCAGUACCGUCACGAUUUACAAGCCUAUAACGAGUGGCUUGAGAAAGAUCGAAGUGCACGAUAUACCAUGUUGAGCUGUAUGCACGAUGAUUUGAUCAAAGAAUUUGAAAAUUAUGAGACUGCUAAAAAUAUGUGGGAGCAGCUCAAAGUGAAAUAUGGGGGCACGUCGACCACAAGACUUCGUGCCUUGAAUCUCAAAUUCAAUCAAUACAUGUUGGACCCGAAGCAUUCUAUGGCAGAGCACUUAAGGGUGAUGUCUGCUAUGAUAAGAGAACUUAAAGCAGCCGGUUGCGAGCUCACUGACGAACAACAGGUUCAAUCAGUUAUAAGGUCCUUACCAGAUUCAUCUUGGGAUCAAAUCAAGAUUGUGCUGACUCAUAAUGAAGGUAUUAAGACCUUCAACGAUAUAUCUCGACAUCUUGAGUUGGAAGCGGAGCGCAGAGAGGCGAACCGUGCCAAUGCACUCGUUGCCCACGGUGGACAGCGCAGAGGCAAGUGGCCUAAGCACAAGCGCCGAAAUGGAGAAAAUAAAUAUGCAAAGACUGGGAACCGUGCGCCAAAUGAGGGCGGAAUUGAGAAGCGCCGCAAAGGCAGGCGCGGAAAGAAAAAUUUAAAUAAAGUGAAAUGCUAUAACUGUGGAAAUAUGGGACACUUCGCUCGUGAUUGCACUGAGCCGAAGAAGGUAAAUCCCAAUCCUGACUCUCUUAUUUAUGUAUGCUCGCACGUUUUUGUUGCUCACGCUCUCUCUGAUUGGAUUGUAGACACAGGAGCAACAAAGCAUGUAACGAGAGAUCGAGCAGGAUAUGUGGAUUAUCGUCGGGUGUCUGCUGGCAGCCAUUAUGUCAUGAUGGGAAACGGCACUGAGGAAGAAGUCCUUGGAAUUGGCGCAUACCAACUUAGAUUGCGCAAUGGUCGUUAUUUGAUAUUACAUGAUGUGCUGUAUGCACCGAACAUCCGAUGUAAUCUACUGUCAGUUUUAGCGUUACUUAGAUUAGGUUUUUCUUUUCAAUUUACGGAUACUCAGUUAGAUAUUUAUUUGGGCAAGGACUUUUAUGGUAAUGGUUGUUUAAAGAAUGAUUUCUUUGUCUUAAAUUUAGACUUGGAUUUUAUUAAUAACAAUAAUUCUGCUUUAUUAGUUUCUUCUGAUAUUGUAUCUGAUUCUAUCAAAUGGCAUGCGAGAUUGGGUCACAUUGGACAAGAAAGAAUGGCUCGACUAGCUAGAGAAGGCCUGUUGGGGUCACUCGCUAAGCUUAGCCUACCUCCUUGUGAACCAUGUUUAGCAGGAAAAGCCUGCAGAAAGCCUUUUGGUAAGGCACGUAGAGCAACUCAUCCAUUGGAGCUAGUUCAUUCAGACAUAUGCGGACCUAUGAAUGUGAGAGCACGUCAUGGCGCGUACUAUUUCCUCACUUUCAUUGAUGACUACUCCCGUUAUAGUUCGGUAUAUCUGUUGUCUCACCGUUCAGAAGCUUUAGAUUAUUUUAAACGCUUCUUAGUGGAGGUUGAGAACCAAACAGAAAGAACUCUAAAAGUUCUACGUACUGAUAGAGGACGAGAGUAUUUAUCAGACCAGUUCAGGGAACUAUGUGAGGAAAAGGGAAUACGCAGACAGUUAACUAUUCCCGGUACUCCGCAACAAAAUGGUGUUGCAGAGAGAAGGAAUAGGACACUUUUGGAAAUGGUUAGGUCAAUGAUGGCGCAAGCCAACCUCCCAAUUAGUUUUUGGGGUGAUGCGUUGUUGACUGCUGCCUAUAUACUUAACCGAGUGCCCUCUAAGUCAGUUCCUUCAACUCCCUAUGAGCUAUGGCAUGGUAUAAAGCCAAAUUUGGAAGGCUUACGACCAUGGGGAUCGGCAGGAUAUGUGCAUAAUACUUCUCAUAAAUAUGGAAAGUUAGGCCCUAGAGCAAAUAAACAAAUUUUUAUUAGAUAUUCUGAUUGCUCGAAAGGCUAUGUGAUGUAUGGUAAGCAUCCUGAUGGAGGAAUGACUGAGAUAGAGUCGCGCGAUGUGGAUUUUCUUGAGAAUGAUUUUCCAGACAUUGGUGAGAUUAAAAAGGACCUUGCACUAUACGAGUUGCAAGAACCUAAUGGAAAUGUCCCAUUGUUAGGCGAGAAUGAGGCACUGAGGCCACAUGAAGAAAUAGCCCAAAACAGUGGGAGUGAUCCUAUGGUCAGUGGGAGUGUGCCGAUUGACCAUGGCUCACAAAGUCCAUCAUUACGAAGAAGUAAACGUGGAGGUGUUCCCCGUCGUCGAUUUGAGAUUGAAGGGGAAUCGUUCAUGUGUGCUUCUACGGAUCUUGAUGAGCCGGCUUCUUAUGCUGAAGCUUUGAAUUCACCAGUUUGUGAUAAAUGGCUAGCUGCUAUGGAGGAUGAGAUGAGUUCUAUGGCUAAGAAUAAUGUGUGGGAGUUAGUUGAUCUUCCGUCUGGACGCAAAACUAUUGGAAAUAAAUGGAUUUUUAAAAUAAAACGUAAGGCGGAUGGAUCAAUUGACAAAUAUAAGGCCCGAUUAGUGGCGAAAGGAUACACCCAAAAGGAGGGAGUAGACUAUGAAGAGACAUUCUCCCCAGUGGUGAGGUUUGUCUCAAUUCGCCUGAUUCUGGCUAUCGUCGCACAUUUAGAUUUGGAACUGUUCCAAAUGGAUGUGAAGACUGCAUUUCUCAAUGGAGAACUAGACGAGGAGAUUUAUAUGAAUCAACCUCCUGGUUUUAUAGCCGAAGGACAAGAGCGCAAAGUGUGCCGCUUAAAACGUUCCAUUUACGGCUUGAAACAAUCGUCUAGGCAAUGGUAUCAACGUUUUCAUAGAGCAAUUAUUUCAAUAGGUUUUGUGAUGAUCGAAGAAGACCAUUGCGUGUACGUUAAAAGGGAAGAAAAGAGUUUUCUUAUCCUUUCACUAUAUGUAGACGAUAUCUUGUUGGCCGGAAAUAAUAUGGAGUUAAUAAUCACCACACAGGAGUGGUUGUCCUCUACUUUUGAGAUGAAGGACAUGGGACAAGCGGAUUAUGUAUUGGGAGUCAAGAUCCAUAGGGAUCGAUCUCGAAAAUUCUUAAGUUUGUCUCAAGAGACUUACAUCAAAAGAAUUUUGGAGCGAUUCCGAAUGCAUAAUUCGAAACCUAUUGACACUCCAAUAGAAAAGGGUCAUUAUCUUAGCCUUGAACAGUACCCUAAAUCAGAAGAAGACAGAAAGCAGAUGGAAAAAGUCCCAUAUGCGAGCGCAGUUGACAGCUUGAUGUAUGCAAUGAUGUGUACUCGACCGGACAUAUGUUUCGCUGUUGGCAUGGUUAGUCGAUAUCAGAGUAAUCCUGGUGCAGCACAUUGGCAAGCAGUUAAAAGAAUUUUCAGAUAUCUGCGAGGUACUGCGAACCUUGCUCUAUGCUAUCAUGGAGGAGAGCUUAGAUUGACGGGAUACACCGACGCUGAUGGAUCCGCAGAUAGAGAUGAACGCAAAUCUACCUCGGGAUAUGCGUUUAUACUUGGAGGAGCUGCUAUUUCAUGGUGUAGCAAGAAACAACCAUGUGUCUCCUUAUCGACUAUGGAAUCGGAGUACAUUGCAUGUACAGCAGCAGUACAAGAGGCUGUUUGGCUAAGGAGAUUUAUGAUAAAUUUGAGUGUAACAGCACAUGCAGAUGAUGCUGUUAUUAUCUAUUGUGACAACAAAGCAGCAAUAGCUUAUGCGAAGGAUCCAAAGUAUCAUGGAAGAUCUAAACACAUUGAGACUAGAUAUUACUUCAUAAGAGAUAUAAUUGCACAGGGACAGAUUGUAAUUAAAUUUGCAUCUACUGAUAAUAUGAUAGCAGAUCCUUUUACCAAACCCCUUGUUAGAAAUGUUUUUCAUAAACAUGUUAGGGGAUUGGGUUUGAAUAGGACUUAACUCUUGUGUAUCUUAUAUUAAUAUUUUUGCGAAUAAAUUUUUUUUUGUAUUUUUUUUUUAUAUAUGCAUUUUAUUAAAUUUUAAAUUAGUGCACAAUAUCCUUGUGAGAAUGAAUGUCACUAGGCCUUUGAUCAGCCCUCUCACACGGGUGAUCGCCCUGUCGCUAGGAGAGCGAGCAGAAUGAGACAAAUAAGAUCAUACAAAUGCAGUUAGUAAUGCAGGUGAUCCACUUUGCGCUAUAAGAGUUGGCGAGUGUUUAAAUCUUAAAUGUCGCCUUAGAUGAGCUAAGAUGAGACUGUACGAAGUCGACAGUAGAAAUGGUCCACGACUCUACUUGGCCUAUAUGAAGCCGAAUGUAAAGAAGACACCAUGUGUAUGACUGUUUUGAGGUUUGUUAUCUUGAGUUACAACAAAACCGACAUUCGUAUGGUGUUUUGAGCGUGACAUGUCCUUAAAAGUAGCUCCACCAUAGCAUACGUUCAUACCGUAUGUGCAAGAUCGAUCACUUGUUUUAGAGAGUGAUGAAAUUGAUUCCCGUUUCGUCGCUGUGUGAGUUUUGCGUACCCUUUGGGACUUAGAACCAUGUUAUGAAGUGGAUACUUGGUGAUGCUACUUUAGCAUGAUAUCCAAGGGCCAUGAUUGAUUCGGUCCAGCGGAAUAUGUCUAGGAAAGCAGUCAAGUUGAAAUGGAUUGACAUGAGGCAUUUAAGGAAAAAUCAUUUGAUAAUGCACCUAUGAUUUGUUACUCAUUGCCCGAACGAUUAUGUUGAUAUUUGUUGUCAAUAUAAUCAUGAGAACAAAUACAUUAAUGAGAGAGAUCUAGUUUGCUCUAAGGGAUCAGAGAUGCUAUGAUCUGGUGUAGUUCAGUGAUUUAGGGUAUAGACGAGAUUUGGAGUUGCAGUGUUAUGUUAGUUCGGAUGGUGGCUUAAUAUAACACUCAUCACUUAUGAUUCUUCUCGUUAUUGAUCGCACCAAUCAUUUUCCGUAUGAAAAGCAGAACGAGAUGAGAAUAUAUUUGGGAUGAGAAAGUAUGAAUAAGUACUAAAUGUGUACGAGUGGGAGAUGUUAGGAUUCGUUCACAUUGGGACUUAUCUAAAAUAUUUCUAAUCCAUAUGGAAUAAGAAAUAAUUAUUUAUAAUUAUCUGUUAUAUUCCUAGUCCACUUGCGAUAAAGAAUAAAUCUAACAGAUAAAUCCUAAUCUGUUUAAAUCUCUAUCUAUAUGAGAUUUAGUUAGAAUAUGAUUAGGAUUAAUAUCUUCCUUAUGGCCUAUAAAUACAUGAGGUAUUGACCACAUUCAAGACAACGAAAAAAACGCAAAUCAUCUCUCCACAAAAUUCUCUCUCUUGGGUUCGCUCUAGGGCACCAUCAUAAACCCUAGGGAUUUGAGCGGUGUGCGGCGAUCGACUCUAAUAGCCGGAUUACAACGAGUAAGAACAACGUGCAACAAAUUGAGACAGGACGUUGGCGGAUCAACGAGUUCGUAAAACAAGACGAGAUCAGAUCCUGAUAAUCACAACAUUAAUUCCGCACCAUAAAAGAGGUAUGUAAAAAUCUAUGUGAUUUUUGCGACGAUUGAUUUUUUUUUGGGUAUUUAAUUAAUUUUAUACAACAAAAAGUAUUUAGAUGAGCAAAAUUUGUGAGUACAUCUACACAUGCUCAAAAGUAUUGCUCAUGUAUUGAGUUUUUUGAAUCAUACGCGUUCUUUAGUUAAUGUACUGCCAGUUAUGGACAAAGUUUGUAUUAUCUAAAUUCUUUAUUUGUAGCCCACAAGUGCACUAGUUGAAGAUCUAGAGCAAAAUUUAGGUAAAAUUUUAACAGUGUUCAUCAAUACGAAUCCGGCAUCCCAAUAAUUAAACAAAGAUAAUAAAAAGCUAAAUAAACAUACAACAAUUACGCCAAAUUCACUUGCCUCUAUGGGAGGAAUUUGAAAACACAAUAUAUAUAUAUAUAUAUAUAUAUAUAUAUAUAUAUAUAUAUAUAUAUAUAUAUAUAUAUAUAGUCCGGCUAUUAUAUUUUUAUGAGUAAAUAUAGAAGAGUUCAAAUCAACUAAAUUUUUGUUAAAAAAUCUUUAAACUAUUUAAAAUAAGAUCUAUACUCUAGAUCUUAAAUAUAAAAAUUGUAUCAUCACUUUUUGAAGGAUAUUCAUUUCCAGCCAUUCAUUUUUCUGUUCACUUGAUGGACAAGAGAACAAUAUCGAAAAUGUGUGAAAUUUGAUUUCCAGAUAUAUAGUUUAAAUAGUUUAGAUCAUGUUUAACGGUGCCGAUCAUCAAUUUAGAAGCUCUAUCAUCGAAAACAAAUCGGUAGUAAACCGAGUCGUUUACUACCGAUAGUAUUCUAGCAAAACUCUAUAGGAGUUGGACUGGGCUACUAUUAGUAGCAAAAUCUCAUUGUUGCUACCAGUUUUUUAGCCUUUGGAUCAACUCUUUUCAUUAUUUCUAACUAUUGGAUUAAAUACUAUAACCCAGUGGAGACCACUCAACCCUAGGGGGACCACUUAACUCUAACCGACUAAUAUCAUUCUGACCCUAUAAUUUUUCAUCCAAGAAUUAAAAACUUGAUAGCAAAAAGAAC